rnacentral:lncRNA from 1 species
ACUUGCCGCCGCUGCUGUGGAGGGAGGUAAGGUGUGGGGAACCUCAGUUCGGUGGCUGGGCAUGGGCGGUCGCCUUCGGACAAGUCUCGCGGUAGAUUCGGGUACCCUCAGCGGGUGCCUCCCGCCCUUCUGAACGCCCUCCCUCCUCUCCGCGGGGAGGAGGUCGAGGCCGGCCACAGGCUGAGCGCGCUUCGGGCUGGGUUCUCGACAGUGAAUCAGUUGAGGAGCACCUCGUAGUAGAUGUCCUUUCGGCCAGUUCGUCCCACGCUCCCCGACGUGUCAGUAGGUAAACUCAUCUUGUGACAAGUUUGGGGAAGGCUGUCGAGAGGCUUGGAGGAGCCGAGUUAGGGUAGUGACGUUUGAGCCGAGUUGUGGGAGCUGACCCGGAAUUUGGGAGAGGAUCUCUGGGGACAGCGUUUCAGGUCGUGGGAGGAGGACAGAAACUGACAGGUUUAGGCAGCUUUGCAUACAUAUUAGGGUAGUGGCUGGAGGAAUGAGCCCACAGAAGAGAGAAGGCAAGAAUAAUGUGGUUGAAACUAAAGUUGGUCCCCAGUUGGGAAGGGCUUUGAUGCCCUGUGAAGAAGUUCUGUGCAGUGGAAACCUGCAGCCGCUUUGUAGAGAGAAGGUAAUUAAUUAACCAUCUCGCUCCCGCGCCCUUUUUGGCGAGACCCCCACCCCCACCCCCCCAAAAAAUUAAGCUUUCAAGUCACUUGGAGAAGUGUAUACUGAAGCAUCCCUUUUGUGUGCUUAUAAUAGGAUGGACACUGCUAGGUGCGCUAAAUAAAGUUUUAUGUGGCUUUGCUGUGUGUCUGUGCGUUGCUAAUGGGGGAAUGUCGGGAAAGAUUGAGUGGACCUGUGAAAAUGUGGCCCUUAAGAGUCCAAAGAACUGCAUUCAAAUUUCAUCACCGUCACCAAGUUCUCAAGUUACUUGAAGCAAGCUACUUUUCUCUGAGACUCGUUUUUCUCAAAUAUAAAAAGAUGAUCCACUUGAUAUCUCAGAGUGUUUCUGCCUUUAAGGAUGGCAGAUUUCCAAUGAAUAAAAAUCAGUCUGUGAACAAAUAUCAGUGAGAAUAAAGUGGUUUAUUAAAAUUUGGGGAAAGAAGGAAGCCCAGAAAAAAAGGCUCUUGAGCUGAACUCUGAGGAAGAAUGAUUUGGUUUAAAUGAUUAGGAACCACACUAGGGAUAAAGCUAUAAACUCCGGGAAUAGCAUUCAUAUUUUAGAGUGUAUUAAUAGAAAUACAAGAUUUGGGAAGGAUGGCACUGAAUGAUGAAAGAACUCCAAAGUGGAAACUGCAGUGUUCUGAAGAGGAAGAAGAUGAUAAGCAUGAAAUAUCAAAAGAACACAGCAUUUGGGUUCAUGGAUCUAGAUGAUUGAUAUUUUGAACCCGUGUUUCUAAAAAGCGCGUCUAAGUACUAUUGACAAAAAUGGGAAUUCUGUCAAAUUCCAGCAUGCAAUAGUGUGUUGAGAGUAAGGGGAUUUGUAUUAUAAAUCUAAUGUUUCCCAUAAUUAACCUCUUGACUAUUAUUUAAUUCUUUUAGAUCCUACUCUCCUUUGUAAAGUGAUGUUGUUGGGCCAGGUCGUCUCUCUCCUGUAAAAAUUUGAGUCUGUGAGGAUGGAGAGCUACCUUCUGAAGGGAAAAAGGAAGAGAGUUGAUACAGAAUAAAAUCAUUUAACUUUGAAUGUUAAAUUUGAUGUGUAUGGUACAGAGUUGAAACAGGCAGAGAGAGUAAGUAGACUGGAUUUAAAAUAGUAAGUUUUCUCUUGGAUUUGGUAAUUAAAAGAGAGAUUGGAUUUGUGUUGAGGGAGAGGUUUUAGAGACAGGAACUAUAGGAACCCGUACAUAGGAGGCUAGAGAAAUCAUUGAAUGAGGCCUGUGGAUCUCAGAUCAAUGAGUAAGGAUUCCUGGGGCUGGGAUUGUGGCUCAAUAGUAGAGUGCUCGUCUAGUACCUGUGAGGCCCUAGGUUCAAUCCUCAGCACCACAUGGAAAUAAAUAAAGGUAGUAUGCCCGACUUCAACAACAACAACAAAAAAAGAGUAAGACUCCUUUUAAAAAAAAAGAAUUAUAUAUAAUUAUAGGUUCUAGGGAACCAACAUUGUUAUUGAAGUAAUUUACAAAUAGCAUUUACGGCAAAUAUUCUUCACCCACUUCUGGUAAACCCAGCAGAAAAUGAAUGAUUGAAAUAGGUAUUUACACUUGUAUUAUGAUUGUUUACCAAGAAGCUAUAUCAUUUACAUAUUUAUUCACUAAAUAUGUGUUUAAGGCACUGCUAGGCACUAGAGACAUGAUGAACAACUUAAACAUUGUUCUUAUUGUUCCUGUAUAUAAAGGUCUUAAUAUCUAGAUCAGUGAUUUUCAGAAAGCUUAAUGCACAUAUGAGUUGCCUGAAGAUUUUGUUAAAAAUUACAUUAUGAAUCUAAUUCUGAUGUUGGGGCUGAAAAUUCUCUAUAUCCAACAAGCACCAACUGAUAUUACUGAUCUAAGGAUCAUACUUGUAAAUGACAAGAGUCUAGAUCCUGUUUCCCAAAUGUGUCAGGUUAUUAAACCACUUAAUAUUAUCCAUCAUCAGUUUUAAAAUGAAAAAAAAAUAUUCAUUAUAAAAAGGAUACAUGCUCAUUAUAAAAUUAUUGGGAUAAUUUAGAAAAGCUCAAAGAACAAUGUAAAAAUCCCAAAUUCUCCCCAAGAAUAAACAUUGUUACUAUCGGUAAAUAUCCAUUCAGAUUUUAUAUGUGUAAAUAUAUUUACAUUUAAAGGUUUUACUGAGUACUUCACACACCUGGAACCCUGUGUUUAAUUCUGUUAACUUUGCAGUUUUACUAAUGUAAAUAUCCAAAUGUCUUCAACCAAGCGAUUCAGUACUUGCAUCUUGAGGGGAAGAAUUUACUUACCUAAAAAUAACUUGAUUUAACACCAUUCCCUUACUCCAAAUAUGGGAAAAUAUUAGAAUAAUUAAUAUUUUCAUUCACAUCCAGAGAAGUGAAAAAUUGUUCUCCAUUUGUGUACAAUGAAUCAAAGAGCAUUCUGCUGUCAUGUGUAACUGAUUAGAACAAAUAAAUUAAUUUUUAAAAAGAACAACAAUAUUUAGAGAAGAUUGGAGAGUAGCUAUGCUAGUGAGCCUUUUUUGGCUUCUGGGACAUCAGGAAAUUGUUGACUUGUCUUACCUCUGAAAUACAUCUUCAGAAUCAUUUUCUCUUUAUGCCUCCCAUCCUGUUACCUCAGCCUUCUAACCGUAAUUCCAUUAUCCUCUUCCCUUCGUGGUUCAACUUGUUUUAUUUUGCUGUCAGUUUUUCUGGCUUAUACUACACUGAGUAAGUUGGGACCUAGCAGCGAUGAGAUGUCCAGGCUAACACAUAAUUUUAUAACCUAAGUUAAAUGUCAAGGCAGGUCGGUGCUUGUCCAAGAGGCCCUGAUUUCAACAGAGGUGAUCCAGAGGUAGGAGUAGGAAGAAGUGGAAUUUUUAAAAAGCAGGGCGGAGUUGAUAAUCCUUCAAACAGACCCAACUCAGGCAGUUCUUAAAAAUGUGAGGGUCAGGACAUGUCUCAUGUCAAGGCCAAUGUCUUUCAUUCCGGUGCCUUCAAAAGAAUAAUAAUGUAAAAAGGCAAGUAGGAUGCUGAAAGAAUAUGCAGUACUGAUCUUGGCUAUAGAAAGAGUCAUCUGAAAACAAUUUUGAACUUCUCAUUCUAUAUAUUUUCCAUCACAUUUGUGGAUGACUUUUAUCUACUACCAAUUUUUUCCCAACAUUUUUUUGUGUCUUAGCACACAGUAAAGUUGAUAAUAAAAGAUUAAAAGAAGGUGUUUGUUCUUAGAUGAAGGUGGCCAGUCUUGGGUUCUAGCUGUCUCAGGCCUAAAGAUUGAGAGGAAUGAUAGCUCUGAUACCCAUUAUCCAUCCAUGGUUUAGCUGGGAAGAUCUACCCAUUUCUUCUUCAUUUUUAGAUUUCUGUUUAUGUAAGAGUAAUUGUGUGCUGUAAUAUACUAUACUUAUAUUAACCUUCUCAUAUUUACAUUAGAACUUCAAGAUACUUGGACUGCUUAAACCUCUUAACUAAGCAUCCCAUCAACUUUGUUUUUUUUUCCUACAAACAUUUACCAUCAUUUUUCCUUCAUUUUCUCUCAUCUUGAUUUAUUAUCUCUGUAAUACUUCUUUUUUUUUUUCCCAUUGACACAAUAUACAUCUUCUUUAGGAAACUUAAGUAUAUUUUCUUACAGUUAUUGCACUCUCUGCUUCCUGGCUGCCAUGAGCACAGUGGCCUCCUCUGCCAUGUUUGUGCACCAUAAUGUCUGCCUUACUUCAGGCCUAAAGCCAUGAAGUUGGCUAACCAUGUACUGAGUGAGAGCUGUGCAACUGUGAGCCCAAAAUAAACUUUUUCUCCUCUGAGUUGUUCUUGUCUGGUAUUUUGGUCACAGAGAUGAAAGGCUAACACAGUAACUAGUACCAAGAAGUUGGGUCCUUCCUGUGACAUACCUCACCAUAUGAUUCUGAAACCCUUAAAACUGAUUUGCCAGAGGAUUUUGGAAAAGUUUGGAGAUACAGGUGGAGAAGCCUUAGAGUGUUGUAAGCAGAACUUAAUGGCUGAUUUUGAUUGGAGCCCAGAAGAACACAAUGCCUGUAGAAAUGUGGACUGGGAAAACUAUGCUCAUGAGGUUUCAGAUGGGAACAGGGACUUCAAAGGGAAUUAGUGUAGAGGCCACACAUUAUAUUCUGAUGCAGAAUUUGUCUACAUUUUGUCCAUAUCCUGAGACUUUCUGUCGACUGAAUUUUAAGAUGAUGGACUAAUUAACCUGGUGUAGGAAAUUUCAAGGUGGCAAGAUCAAGGGUGUAAAGGUGAAAACUCAUUUAAGGAGCAACCAUUGGGGCACCCUGCUUGCCCAGCCAAUGAAGCCCAGGAAGUUGCUUCCCCAGUGUUUUGUUUCAUCAUGCUCAGCUGUCUAGGUACUUGGGCUGAUGCAGCCAUGGUCUAAGGGGGCCCAGCUGCUGCUCACACUGGCAGAAGACUUUAGCAUUGUCCAACAUGUUGUUGGUCUCCAGGAAAGCAUGAUGCAGGAGUUAAUUAAUGGUCAUGGAGGCUUCCACUGAGAUUUUGUAAUAAGGUGUUGGGAGGCUAUGCAAAGUGUAGCAGGGUCAGAAUCUUUUCAAGCAACCCAUGAGAGAGCAGUGUGGGAUUAAAAGAUGCCAAUAAUGUGAAAUGUCUCCUGAGGAAAGCUGCUGGCUGCAGACACAGCUGGCCUAAGAGGCCAUGUGUGCAGCAACCCUCCAGGCCAAAGGGGCAGGGCUGCCCCAAGUCCUUUGGAGAUCAGUCUUCCCACCAUGUGCCCCAGAUGCUGUAUGUGGAGAUGGCAGGACUUGUUUUCCCAGCUGUGUUUCGAUCUUGCCUUGCUCCCAUUCCUUCUUUCUAUGCCCCUAUUCCUCCCUUUUGGAAUAGGAGUGUUUACUCUGUAUCAUUGUGUAUUGAAUAUAUGUAAUUUGUUUUUGAUUUCUACAGGGCUUCACAGUGGAGAGUUUGCUUUGAGUUUCAGAAGAGACUUUAAAUUUGAACUUUUGAACAAUGCUGAAACUGUUGGAGAUGUACUGAAUGUGUUUUGCACUGUGAGAUGGACACGAGCUUUGGGGGGCCAGGGACCGAAUGUUAUGGUUUGGAUCUAAAAUGUUCCCCAAAAAGCUCAUGUUUUGAAAGCACAAUCCAUAUGCUUUCUAAGGUUAAGAAAUAGGACUUUUAGGUAAUGAUGAAAGCUAUGGCCUCAUUAGUAGAUUAAUCCACUUAAUGGAUUAAUAAUUUGAAUGGACUACUGGGUGGUACCUGUAGACAGGUGAAGUAUGACUGAAGGAAGUAAGGCCCUGGGGGUGUGCCCUUGGAGAUUAUGUCUUGUGUCUAUCUAUCCUCCCCUCACUCUUCCCAAACUGUCUGCUUUCUAGCUGCCAUGAGCUGAGAAGCUUUCCUCUACCAGGCCCUUCCACCAUGAUUUUCUGCCUCACUUCAAACCCAGAGCCAUGAAGCCAGCUGAUCAUUGACUGAGACCUCUUAAACUGUGAGCCCCAAAUCAACUUCCUCCUCUAAAAAGAAAAUGCAUUAUCUACUAGUGUUUUUACUGUGAUGGAAUUUGUACACCAAUAAUAUUUUUACUUAGGUUCCAUGCCAUAUCUUUUUAUGUGACUUUUUAAUAUUUAUUGUUUGAUAAUUGGAGCCAUAUAUGGCUUUAAACUCUAAAAAAUUAUUUUUUUAUAUUUCAUAUUAUGUUUUAUGGUAAACUUCCUGCAGGACAGAGACCUUUUAUGUAAAUAGUUUUAAUGUUCUUGAACAUUGGGUAGUAUAUUAUAGUAUACUUAUAUACCUACUAUUACUUGAUAUUAAUUCAGUCAGUUUUAGGUUUAUGAGGGAAAUGAGUAGUGUACACCAAUUACUGGGAUUCAAAAUAUAAAUCAGUAAAAGCCUUAAAGUUAGUUGCCUUUCCUUAUGUGUCCAUAGUGACUUGUACUCCAGCAUAGCAAUUGCACUAUAUUAUUAUUGCCUUUUAUUAUUUUAUUAUUAUAGUUUAUCUAUGAUUGAGUCUAUUCAAACUAGAGUAGUGGUUUUUAGUAGAUGUAGUGAUGAUAAGGCAUGGGUCUUGCACAUUUUGGAAAACCUUCCCAUCCUCUUCUUUAGGUGCAUCACAUCCUCCACCACCAUCACUGCUGUCAUUGUUCUUUGGGAAAGCUCCCAUACUCAUUUCUAAACUCUUAGAAAUUGGGGAAGUGUAUCAUAUUUAUCAUUUGAUUUCUAGUGUUUACCAUUAUUUGGCAUUGAGCUUCGAAUUUUGAUAAUUGAGCUUAGGAGAAUGUAAGCGAUGACACAAUCUGAAUACCACUAGGAAUCAGCAUAUAAUACAUUGAUGUAUAAUUUAAAAUAGGCACAAGAAACUGAAUUGAAAUCUUGAAGUAUAUUCUCCUUGUUAUCCUGUAAACAGUCUUUAUCAGAGUAUUUAAUGAUUUUAUUUUAGCAGGUUUUAGGUGACAGCAGAAAAUAACACCAUCAUCAACUUUGCUGCAUGUUGAUAGUUUUCACAGUUUUAGGAAAGGAAUACCAUGAUUUAUCCACUUGUCUAUGCUUACAUACAUUAUCUGUAGAUGAGGUAGAUAAUUUACAUUACUGCUGAUAGCUAUCAUUUCUGUUAGGUAGUUUGCUGAUCUUAUGUAAUUUCUUAAGAGUAUUGGUUUUACCUAGGCUUCAGCUUUAUAAGCUCAUUUACAUGUUUUAAAACUUCAAACCAAGACUUCUGCUUUUAAGAUAACAGAAUAAAGACAUUUGUGCCCUCUUCUAUCUGAAAUUCCACUGAAAUAACAGAAAAUGAGAGAUAGAGAUGUAAUUACAUUUUCCCUGAGACUAGAAGACUUGUAACCCCAAAUCUAAAUAUUUGGGAAAUGACUGCCAAGUGUAAGCAGGAAUAUGUUAAAGAGGAUCCUUGUAGAAAGCAGUCUUAGAGCUGGAGGAACACAGAGGGAAAGGUUGUUUACAGUGGGAUCUGGAUACUUAGGAAAGCUCUGGGAACCUCCUCGUACUGCUUGGCAAAAUGAACCAGCAAGCAAGAAAAAAAAAAAAAAAAUGAGAUGGCACACAAAUACACUGUCUUUGCAGAUGACACUCUUGCUGAGGCAAAAGAGAGAUUGUGAGUGGCCUUUUGCUACCUGUUUCUGACACUUGGAGAUAGUAAUAUGUAAACACCUUUCUCUCGCUUAUUCUCACACACUCUCUCUUUUUUCACAUUCACUUAUACAAAACAUUUUGUCAGAAAGAGCUUUACUGAAUGCCAGAGAGUACCUCUAGUCUAGAACACAGUUGUUUCUUCCUUUCACAGUACUCCUGCAAAUAACUAAUCCGGAGGGAACUCAAGUCAUUCAAAGAUAAAUAAUAAUAAAAAGGAAAUGAGCACAGUACACAAAAAUCCUACAAGAAAAGAAACAAAGGAAAAACAAAUGAUAGUGAACCCAUGAGAAAACUGUACUGGCCUUAAAGAAAUUACUAGAAUAAGUUUAUCCUUUAAAUAAACACCAAAGUUAAUUGGCUCAAGAGCUAGAAAGAAAUUGUAAGACAACAGCAUAUAAUGAAACAUAGUUUGGCAGAGCUUAGGAAAGAAAGACAAAAUCUGAAACUUUGGAGGAAAAUGGAAAACUAAGAAAAAGAUAUGAUGACAGACUUCUAAAAAUUGAGCAAAAGUUAAUGAGAAUGAAAAGAGAUAAACAAAUGCUUAAUUGGGGUUCUUGAAAUAGAGAAUUAAAAACUGUUUGAACAUAUAACUUAAGAAAAAUUUCCACAGUUAUCUUUACUUAACAGAUUGAAAGGACACAUAAAGAUUAAGAGGAAACUAAUAUACAUAUCAUUACAUAAUCUAGCUUAACAAAAAUUGAAUUUCAUAGGUAAGGAAUGCAUCCUUUGCUUGUCUCAUUAAUGAAUUAGAUUAACUAUAAGUGGUGUUGGGGAAUCAGAUAUUUUCAAGGGACUAUUUAGCAUUACAGGAUAAUGUAAUAGCCUAUAAGUUAUCAGGGAGAUAAAGUGUGACCUCAAACCCAGACUGUCAAACUAUUGACAGUUAUUUUUGAACAAUGCAAAAACUCAACAUUAGUGGAAACUGUAAUAAGUUCUUCUUGAUAAAUUGCCAAAAGAUGAAUAUCAGUCAUCCAUAAAAGAACAGAGAUAAUACAGCAAUAGGACUGACGGGGGACAUUAUAGGAAUAAAAACAAAAUGAGAUUUGUAGUUAUGGAAUAGUGUAGAACUAUUACAAAGUAGAAGUAACUAGUAAAAGUCAGGAUUGAAAAAGGAUAGAAGGCAGAAGGUGGUAUAAACUUGCCAAUGUUUUAUUUGUUAGGUAGAGAACAAAAGACAUAUAAAACUUAGACAUCAAGUAAUAAAGGUAUUAGCGUAUUUAUAGGAAUAAAGUAGAUUAUCUAGGGGGCUAGGGUUGUGGCUCAGUGGUAGAGUGCUCAUAUAGCAUACAUGAGGCACUGGGUUCUAUCCUUAGCACCACAUGAAUGUAAAAUAAAGAUAUUGUGUCCACCUAAAACAAUCUAAACAGCAUAUAUUUAAUCAAAAGCAAAUAUUGGAGAAAAGGUAGAAGCAUAGUUAUACUAAAUUUCUUAUCUUAAAUAAUCAGAGAUGGCAUCCAAGAUGAAAAAACAAAAUUAUUUAUAAUGGUAUUCAUUACAUUUGCAAAAAACUGAGAACAUACAUGGGACAUUUAUAAAAACUGAUCACAUCCUAGAUUCCAUACUCUUGAAAAUCUUUAAAAAACUAUGGAGAGCUAUCAUACAUGUGUGUCUUGACCAGAAAUUUUCUCAGUUUCUUCUGUGGUAAUGGUUUUCAAUAUUGUCGGCAGCAUCCAUAUCAUCUAGGAACUUGUCAGAGUGCUCUUUCAGAGGUUCCAUACCAAAUCUGCUGGAUCAGAAACUUUGGAGAAGCCCUCCCCAAAAUCCCUGUUGGUCAGACUGUUCUGUGAAACUUUAGAUAAACUAUCUAUGCUGUUGCUGAUUGUUACAGGUAAAAAUAAUUAAAACACAGGCUUUUGUCUCUUCAGAAAUACAUUUUUAUUCACAGAAAACAAGAUUAUCUUCCUAUCCAAAAAGAUGAAAACCUGGCUACAUUUGAAAGACAACCAAGUGAACACCACAGACUAAUGAGUAGAAUCAAUAAGAACGUGAUUUUGGCCCUUUUAACAUUGACAAGUUCAGCAUUUCUGCUAUUUCAGUUGUACUACUACAAGCAUUAUUUAUCAGCAAAGGUAAUUUUUUCUUUUUUAUCUUUAGACUUCCCUUUAGCUGUAUAGUUUCUUAACAUAUUUCUCUUUUGCAGUACAUAAAUUAAUCACAGUCUUUUAAUUUUUAUAGAAACAUUUCUUACUGAGAGUCUCAUAUUUUACAGUUAAAUGUUUCCAUAAUUACACACUGAAGUCAAAAGUGCCAAGUUUCAGGGCUGGGGUUGUGGCUCAGCAGUAGAGCACUUGCCUAGCAUGUGCGAGGCAUUGGAUUUAAUCCUCAGCACCACAUAAAAAUAAACAAAUAAAAUAAAGGUAUUGUGCCCAAAUACAACUAAAAAAUAAAUAUUAAAAAAGUGCCAAGUUUCAGUGAUGUUUAUUGCAGUUUUCUGAUAUAGUCAUAUAAAAAUUAUCUGCUACAAAGAGUAUUUCAGUUAAGAAAUUUGGUGACAAUUGUAUACAAUAUCAAAAUUAUUUUACUGUAGUAUACGUUUUAAUUUAGAAUCUACCGGGAAAGAGUAAUAAUCUAAGUUGCCUUUGUCUAUAUCUAUAGAAAUAAAGAAGUAGAGAUAAUGUUUGGAAACUAAUAGAUUCUUCCAGUAGUAGUGAAUGCCUGCAGUACCACUGUGUUGAGAAGGACUACAGUACUCUUCAAUGUCUUUAGGAAAGAUUAUACUAAUACCUAUUACUGGUUAAGGAAGAAAGAGGUAUUUACUAUCUUAGAGUUAAGGAGACCUACUUCUGUCUAUUUCAGGGCCUGACCACAGAAUCCUUUUGUCUCUAGCUGGUCAAACAAGGUUAGCUUUUCUGUGACCCACUAAAUGAGGUCUGAGGUCUGAAUAAUUUAGUUUUCUAAUAACAUUAAAAAUGAGAAACAAGUAUAUCUAUUGGGUCUGCUAAAAUUCUGUAGAUAAGUAGAAUAACCCUCUGAAGUACACACUGUUGUAGUAUGGUAGCCUUGUGAGCAUGUUCUAUGGGCUCCAACUUUCAAGUACAGAUUUACAAUGAGUUUAUGUCUUGAUAAACCCAUUAUGAGUUGAAAAUAUUAUAAGUCAAAAAUGCAUUUUAAUAUGCCUAAUUACUGAAUAUUAUAGCACAGUAUACAAUAGACUAUCAGUUGUAUAUCUUUGUGAUCACUUGGCUGAUGGCAACUGUAGUACUACAUCUUGCUAGCCUAGGAAAAGAUCAAAAUUCAAAGUAAUUUCUACAAAAUGUUUAUCACUUCACACCAUCAGAAAGUCAAAAUAUUGUGAAUCAAACCAUCAUAAGUUGAGGUUCUUUGUAUUUGGCUUACAUUGCACACCAAAAAGGCAAAGAGAUAUCUUUAGGACUGUCUAGGAUAUGAUUAAAUUGUUCAUUGAUUUUUUAGUGCACCUAAUUUUGUGUGCUUAUUCAGACUGUAUUUAUUAAUCAGUUGUUAUACACAGGGUAUUUAGCAAGAACACAGAGAUAUGUAGAACAGAGUUCAAGAGACCUGUAGUUUGAUAAAUGUAGCAAGAGCAAUAAUUCUUGAUUUGGGCAAUUAGAAAGAUAGUUCUGGGGUUUAGAGAGUUCAAAUCCCUCAUUCAUUGACAAAUCACUUAACCUCUUUGAGCCUCAGUUUCUUUAAGUAUGGCUAAUAGUAACUUUCAGGUUGAGGUAUGUGGUACAUAUAACUUAGGUUUUGAUGUAUGGUAGAGGCUCAGAAGAUGAUAAGUAUUAAUAGCUUAUGUUUUCUAGUCCUUUUAAGCUUUAAUUACAGUUUGAUAAAUUGAAUUGAGUUCAAUUGUUACAGUGUUCUUAACAAGCCUCCAUUUAUCACUUUUUCAUAAAUGAGUGAAAUAGGUUCCAGGUAUAUUAAGUUUCUUCUCAUAAGAUUGAUAAGAUAUCCAUAAUUACCCUAGGUACAUGUAUGAUUGCACACAUGGUGUGGCGCUACAUCUACAUGUACAACCAUAGAAAUGUAAAGCUGUGCUGCAGUUGGGUACAGUGAAUCAGAGUUCAUUCUGCUGUCAUAUACCUAAUUAAAAUUAGUUAAUUAAUUAAUUUAAAAAGAUUGAUAAGAUAUGAAAAGAGAUGACUUUAAGGAUUGCUGAAGCACAACAGAAAAUGAUAAAAUAUUAAUGCUUAGGUGGAAGCAAUGUUUGUGUAAAACUCCAGUAAUCCCAACCUUAUGUUGUUCUUGACUUAGUCAAGAUAAACCACACUGGUGCCUUCAGUAAUCAGCUGUUUUUACUACUUAGGAGGCCCACUUACAGGGUGGUGUGCUAGGAUAUCUUUGUGUUAUAUUUUGUAACCUAUGUGUGUUUGGCUAGAAGGAAGGAAGAGAGAGAUGGAAGAGGAGUUUGGAUUUCAAGUUUGUGAGUAAUCAUUCACAGAAAACAAUUUUGUAUGCCAUCAUUAGAAAUGGAAAUUGAUCUUGUAGCUAUUUAUAUCAUGUGCAAGAAACCUGGAAUUUUAAAAAAUUUUUGGAAUUUUUUUAGUUAAUCAGUUACUUAUUAAAAUUAAGAAACAUGAUUUUCCCUUCAUCUUUGUUGUCUUGUUCCACUUUGCUCUGAAGAAUAAUAAUAGGUCGUUUCUGGAGAAAGAAUAUUAUGUUUGAUAGUCGAAUUUAAUAUGGCAAACUUAUGAUAAGUACUACUUCCCUUCUUCUCCAACCCUUCCCACUUUUUCAGUAUCCAGGAGAAAUGUGAAAGAAUUUCUAAAUUAAUUAGAAUUAUUAAUAAUUAAUUUAACAAUUAGAAUUAAAGGGUAUUUUUAAAAUUUUUUCUACUUAUUCUCAGACUUUCAACUAUUUUUAAGUUGUCUGACCAAACAGUUUCAAUUAGUAAAUGUAGCUUUCUCACCAUUACAAAUUACAUUUAUGACUUCAGUCCACUAAAAACUUCAGUGGCUCAGAAGUAAGUAGAAGAAUGAUGUUUCUACUGUAAGGAAAGGCACUGACAGGCAGAGUGGAAGGCUACUUGGAGGCUAUCAUGUUGAAUUCACCAUAGUUAGUGUUUCUUAUCCUAGAUUUGAGAGUUUAUGAACAACUGAAAAAACUCAGUUAUUGAAGAUUUUAGUGUUUUUUUUUAAGUAUUGGCAUUUGAUUCUAUAUGGGCAUAUUUAAAGAUAAUGCAAAUUAAGGAAUUGGAAUUUUGAUUCCUUUAAGAAACUGCAUGUUGAACUCUGCCUUCAAAAAUAACAGGAUUAGGGCUGGGGAUAUAACUCAGUUGGUAGAGUACUUGCCUUGCAGUCACAAGGCCCUGGGGUUCUAAUCCCCAGUACCACAAAAAAAAAUAAAACAAACAAACAAACAAAACAAAAACAGUAUUUUUUCUUCUUAUAUGAAAAAUAUUUAUUUGACUCAUUUCCUUCAUGACAAAUAUUUAUUGAUUCAGUUAUCAGUGGAAUUCUAUAGUCACCAAAUUUUUUUCUUCCAGUCUUUAUUGGCAUCUGAUUUUUUUUCUUUCCCUUAAAUUUCACUAUAAAUCCCAUAAAAAAUGUUUUAGAAUAUAUUUAGGCUUUUUAAAAAAACCCUUAUUGACUCUAACUAUAUGACAUACUUUUAAUUUUUUCAGAACAUUCAGUCAUUUGUCAAAUAUUUGUUGAAAGCUUACUGUGGCUCAAACAUAGUACUAGGCUAUGAAAUAAAAUGACAAAUACAAUUUAAUCCUUGCCUUCUAGGAACUCACAAAUUGGGGAAAUUUGGUGUUAUAGUUUGUAUCUAAAAAUGUCCCCCCAAAAGUUCAUGUGUUAGGCAAUGCAGUAAUGUUCAGAGGCAAAAAGAUUGGAUUAUAAGAGCUGUAACCUCAUCAGUGGAUUAAUCCAUUGAUGGCUUAAUAAUUUGGACUGCUAGGUGGUAACUGGUCAGGGGGGCAUAGCUGCAGGAAGUAGGUCACUGGGGGCAUAGUAUUGGAUUGUAUGUUCAUGGUCCCUUUCUUCUUCUUCCCUUCCUUUCUCUUUGCUGUCUCUGUUUCCCAGCUUCCAUAAGCUGAGCAUCUUUACUCUGCUAUGCCUUCCACCAUGAUGUUCUGUCUCACCUCAAGUUCACAGCAAUGGAGUUGGUUCAUGGAUGAAAGAAUGUUUUUGAGUUGUCCUUAUAGGAAUGAGUAGGAGUUCUCCAGGUGAACUGGAGGAUGAGAACUCCAUUACAAAUAAAAGAAACAGUCUAUUCAAAGAGAAUGAGCUAUAUGGAUGUCUAGAGGAGUAGCAUACCAAGUAGAAAUCAAAGGAAGUGCAAAGGUUCUGAGGCAGGAAUAAACAGGGAGUUCUGAGAACAGCAUAGAGAUUAAUGUGACUGUAGAAGAGUGAGAGAUGGGGAGAAUAAUGAGUAAGGCUACAAAAUUCCAUGUUGUUGUAGGUCUAAACCAUUAAAAGGACUUUGGUUGGGUCUUAUUCUUAGUAAGAUUGUGAAUCAUAGAAAGGUUUUGAGUUGUUACAUGACAUGAUCUGAUUUUUACUUUAAAACAAAUAAUCUGGCUGCUCUGUUGGAAAUGAAAUAUAGGAAUAAAGGCUGAAACAGAUAAAAGACUAUUAUUAUUUACGUAAGAGAUGAUAAUGGCUUGGACUUGGAAGUUGGUGAGAAAUGGAAAACAGAGCUGUAAGGAUUUAUUAAUGGGUUAGAUGUGGGGUAUGAAAGACAGAAUAGGAUCAGGAAUAACUAGUAUUUUUGGCCUAGGUAAUUGGAAGGGGAAAAUUGCUGUUUACUGAGAUAAGAAAGACACAGAAGAGCAAGUUUGAGGGAUGGUAAAAAUCAUUUUUGUGUGUGUGUUUUCUUUUGUUGGUACAUUGUACCUUUGAGGUAGCUAUUCAAAUGAAGAAGGUGAAUAGACAACUGGGUAUAUUAAGUCUGAAGUUCAAAGGGAUAGUAUGAGCUGGGAGUUGUAAGCAGAUAGAUGGUAUUUAAAACCAUAGACUAGAUGAGAUACCAAGGAAGUGAAUAUAGAUUUAAGAGAGAGAAAGAAAGCACAAGAAAAAAAGCAAGUUUCAAGAUCUGAGCUCAGAGACCCUUCAGCAGCAUGUCAGAGGUGGAAUGAACUAGCUAGCGAUACUAAGAAAGAGUAGCCAGACAGAAAUAGUAGAAGACUGGAAGCAUGGGGAUUCUGAGAGCCAAGUGAAUGAAAUAUUUCAAUGAGGCAGAAGUUGUUCAACAAUUCUUAGUAGGUCAAAUAAGACAAGGACUAAUAAUUCAUCAUUGGAUUUAGCAAUGUGGAGGUUAUUGGUAUUCUUGAUGAAUGCUUACUGAGUGAAUUUAAGCUCAAGUGAGUUCAUAGGAGAAUUGUGGGCAAUGAGCAUAGACAACCCAUUAGGAGUUCUCUUGGUAGGAGAGUAAGAAAAAUGGUAGGAAAGAGACACCAAGAGGUUUUUGUCUUAAUUUUUUUUUUUUUAAGAUAGGAGAAACAAUGUCAUGUUGUAUGCUGAUGGAAAUGAUCCAGCAGAGAAAGAAAAAUUGCUGAAGCAAUUUCUUUGGCCAGGCGAGAGGGAUAAGAUAUGUAAAUGGAGAGUUUGGCCUUUAAUAGGAAUGUAGGCAGCUCAUCUGUCAGGAGAGGAGGAAAGGUAGACUGUAGGGAUAUAAUUUGAUUAGGUAGUUGAGAUGCGGUAGGAGCUCUUGAAGGUUCUUCUCUAAUUUUUUCCCUCCCCCACAUCCCGGGAAAUAGAAAAGCAAUGCCAUAAGUUGAAGGAUAGAUAGGUAGGGGGUGUUGGAAAGAGAAAAAAGCAGAAAAAGUCAUCUAGGAGAAUGAGAGUUAAUACACAAGGGAAAUGUAGGAUGAUUGCUGGGCAGAAUUAAGUUCCUAUUUGAAGCUGGUAGUCAUGAAUCUAAAGUGACACCAGUGAGCAGCCAUGUUUAGCUGCACAGUUGCAUGUGUACAAAAAGUGGAGAGUGGAUUUUUGCUAAGCAUAUAAAAUGAAGUAAAAUAGAGGCAGAUUGUGAGUAUACAAAUAGGGAAUGAUAUAAAACGUGAAUGUUUGUGCUGGUAUUAUUCAUAGUAGCUAAAUUAUCUAAAUAUUCAUCAAACAAUGAAUACAAUAGAAUAUUACUCAGCUAUGGGGGAAAAUAAUUAAAUACUGAUGCAUGCUAUAGCAUAGAUGAACUGUUACAUUAUGCAAAUUGAAAAAAGUCAGAUGCAAAGAGCCACAUAUUAUAACUGCAUUUUAAUGAAAUGUUCACUUGAGGCAAAUCCACAGAGAAAAAAAUGUAUAAACAUUAUAGUUAGGGCUGAGUGGAGGAAGGUUGGGGAGUGAUAUCUAAUAGGUUUUAUUUGGGACAUAAUGAAAAUAUUGUAUAUAGUGGUGAUAGUUGCAGAACUCUGUAAAUAUACUAAAAAUUACUGAAUUCUACACUUUAAAAAGGUGGCUUUUAUGGUAAUGUGAUCUAUUUCUCAUUGAGAGUGAACUAGUAGACUAUCCCAAAUGCCACAAGUUAAACAGCUUAGAAAUUCAGUCUUGCCUACUAAUAUAAGACUGUGGUGAGCAACAAAUGACUAUAUUGCAGAGUUCACAGUCUUUUUUCAGUACUAAAGAUUACAAAGAUGUGUCUUUAUUGCUUUUUCUCAAACAUCUACAUGUAUUAAAAUGUUAUUGCCUAAACUGCAGAGCUUGUUAGGAGAGACUCUGGCUAUACCUUAAUUUCUCAUUAUAUCUCAGUAUAUUUCUUAGUAAUUCCUCAUCCCUCUCUCCAGUUAAUAGACUCUUAUUAAUCCAGUGGAUCCCAAAUGUCAAUUCCUUAUAGGAUGAUGGGAUAUAAUGGAUUAAGCAUUUACUAUUUACCAAGCCCUGUGCUAGGUAGUGGUGGUACAGAAAUGGAAUAGACUUGUAUCCUGCCCUCGAGUGUGUGGUUAGUGGGAAGGUGAGUUUCCAUUUUUUUUAACUCACAUUUUUCUUCAGCAUCCUACCAUUUUUAGCUUGCAGGUAAACAACACAUUAAAGAUAUAAAAACCUUCUUGGAUCUUCUUUGAGCUUAAAACAUUCUUCUUCUUGUGUAUUCCAUCAAAUGUUCACUUUCCUGUUCCUUUGAAAGUAUUUUGGAGCUUAUCAGAGGUCUGAUUCUCUGGACCUAAAUAUUUUUAAAAACAUUUUUUAAAAAUAACUCAACAUUUUAAAUUAUGAUGUGUCUUAGCUUUCUAUCUGUAAACCAAAAAUAAAAAUGUUUGCUUUGUAGAAUCAUUGUGAGAGAUAGGAAAAAGUAUAUAGUUUAUAUGUAGAUGUAUCAAAUAUAGUACCUGACAUUUAGGAGCUGCUCAAUAAAUUUACUUACUCUUUGCCAGGAACUACAAAUACUAAUUCAGUAUAUGGAGAUAAGCUGAGGUUAGGAAUAUGUAGCUAACUUGACCAACUGUAAUUCCAGAGAGAUAGCAGAGAAUUUGUUGUUUAUUUGUUGACAUUGAUUAGUUUAGAGAUUUGGGCAACAUAUACUUAGUUAACUACUGUAUUCUGUUGAUGUUUUACAUCUUAGGUAGCUGUAUUAUAAAAUAAUAGCAUUCUUAGCUUCUGACUACAUGAAAAUAAGUAUUUGGGUGAUGCCUUCUAAUGACUAUGAGCUAAUAUGCAGUUUGACUCUUAUACUCACCCUAAAUGUAAUGGUGCAUGCUGGACUUUGAAUUUAUUUCAGUAUUCUUUUGUUAUCCUCCUAGAAUGGAAUUGGUUUGUCAAAAUCCAAAGGCAGCAAAAUCGGAUUUGAUAGCACACAAUGGGUAUGUACAAUAAAAUUCCUCACUUACAAUGUACAUUUAGUUCAUUUGUUUGUGUACUCAAUUUUAAGUAUUUGUUUGAUGAAUACAAUGACUACCUUGGGGAUGGAGGAGGUAGUGGCCAGGAAGGAGUGAGCCCUAUACCAAGUACUUAGAGUAUCUUAUUUAGUCCUUAUAGACACCUUAACCAAGUCAAUAUAUACUGUUAUUUUUGAUUUACCUUAGAGAGAUUCAAGUUAGUUGGCUAAUAAGUGAUUGAGUCUAGAUUCUAACUUCCUGCCUCUAGAACUCUCAUUCAUUGAGCUGUGCUGCUUCGCCGAAUGAAUGAAUAUGUUUCAGAACUUAACUAUGAAUAAUGAAAAAAUUAGUGAUCAGGAAUAAAAAUUUAUUCAGCAUGUUUCCUUUAUGAGAUAAGUGAAACUAGUCUUACACAUUUCCAGAUCCUGCAUAUUUAUAAGUUUAUUUUCUUACCUUCUAUUCUAACUAAACUUAGAAUGAAAAACAAUGUUGGGUAACUAAUAAAAAAUCACAGUUCUCUUGUUUGUAUACAUUGUGGAAAAUGACCAGAUAUAUCUUGUGGAGACAGUUUGUAACCACAGAUGUGGAAGGCUUUAGAUUAGAAUUUUCAAGUAACCAAGUUUUAUUUUAAGUCAUUGCUGAUACCAACUAGAUUUGAACUACUGUUUUAAAAGUGAAGUCUGGGACAUCCUACUAGCAGAUGUCUUAGUUAUCUAAUCUAGAAAUAUAAAUGUGAACUUUAAAUUUAUUAAAGAUAGCAAAUGUUUUGCUUUGUGUAUUUAGGAUCAUCUUAGGGAAAAGGGACUCAUGAUGUUCUUAGUAUUUAUAUUACCAAGUCUCAAUUAUAAAGAUUCUCAAUUAAGUAAAAAGGGAUACUUUGCACACUUCUUUCUAGCACUUCUCUACCUUCAUCGCACUCUUAAGAAACACAGAUAUAUACUACAUACAUAAAUACAUACCUACAGCUGGAAUAUGCCUGUGGUCUGAAGGCAAUGGAAUGGUCUAUCAUAAAUGUUAACAUUCUGUGAUGUGAAGAUAUAGUAAUAAAAAUUUUCCAAGUUUGCUGUUAUUGAAAGUCUUCAUAUGUACACUGAAAGAACAUGUUUAGGAAAAAUUUAAAGCUAUAACGGCUUCAGUGGGAUAGAAGAUUUUACUUUGUAUUGACUGAGUGACAACUCUCUAACAAUAUCCUCAUACCUUUUAAUGGAGUAAGGUAUGGUGACCCCAUCCUUUUAGUUGGAGAAUGAUCCAUGAGUUGGGAAGAAUAGCAGAUUUUUUUAAAGGUUUACUUUCAAGGUAGGUAAGCAAAAAAUUAAAGAGCAGCUUACCACAUUAAGGAAAUUCUCUUUGUAUUGUAACUUAAUUACAUUUCAGGGUACUAAAAAAAAUUGUGAAUGUGGUCACUGAAUUAUUACAAUAUUUGCAAAAUCACAGGAAACGGAAAAGUAUUAAAAUGCCUUUGUCCUAUUUUUUUGGAAGAAAUAAAAAGUGAAAACUGACUAAUACUGUGAUAUUGAGUCCUGAUAAAAUUCUAGAAUGAAUUAUUAAGCAGAUGACUUGACAGGCUUAGGAAAGAAAAAGUGAUAAUUAGGAAUCCGGCUUUUGCUAAGAACAAGUUGUGUGCUGAAAAUAUAGCUCAGUAGUAGAGAGAGCUUGCCUAAGAACAAGUCCCAUCAAGUUCUUGUAGGUUCUGAUAAAAAUUUUAAUACACAGGCAGAUGAAUAUGCUAUUGUGGUCUCAGCACAUCCUAUUUUCAACAAGACAUUUUUCAUUCUUAAAACAAAGUGAAUUAUCGAGGAGUAGGUAGGUGAUGAUAGUCAUGUUGAUUUAGGAUUAAUUGGAUUAAAAAUCAAUUGGACACCUAUUUCUAAGGAGCAAUGAUGAUUGCAGUAUUAAUGAUUUGGAAGGUAUAUUUUUUAAAAGAUAAGUUAUACAUUCUCCCCUUGACCCUGUCCUGAUCUAUAUUUAUGUUAAUAAUUAUAAUGACGCCAUAAAUAUAUUCAUCAAAUUUUUUAAUACUAACCUGAGAUUCAUUUAACAUGUAAGUAUAUGAACUAGUUUCUAUCAUCUCAUUGUCUUUCUCCAAAAAUCAUUUCUCUUUCAUUUUUUUUAUCUAAAGCACAGAAAAGCAUUAACCCUAAGAGAAAAAAAAUCAAUAGACUAUCAAAAUUUAGAACUUCUACUUAUGCCACAGAAUAGAAAAUAUUUGUAAAACUUGCAGCUGACAAAAGAGUGAUAUCAAAGAUUUAUAAAGAAUUCCUACAACUCAGUAAUAGAUUUUUUGUGUUGUUCAUAGCCUUUUUCAAAUUGAGAAAGCAUCUUAUUCCUUUUUUUGAUGAGAGUUUUUAAUCACAAAUAGGGAUUGAAAUUUGUCCAAUGCUUUUUAAAAAAAAAAUUGUAGUUGUAGAUGGACAGAAUGCCUUUAUUUUUUAUGUGGUGCUAAGGCAAGUGCUCUGCUGCUGCACCACAUGCCCAGCCCCACUCAAAUGCUUUUUAUGUAUUGAAAUUACCACAGGUUUUCCCCUUUGUUCUGUUGAUAUGCAGAAUUUUUUUGAUUGACUUUCCAAUAUUAAAUUAAUCUCUGAUUCCUGUGAUGAACAUUGGUUUUGAUAUUUACUUUCUGCUUUUUAAUUACUAGAAUUGACUUUCUCAUAUUUUGUUAAAUAUCUUUGCAUCUGUAUUCACGAGUAAUCGUGGUCUGUAAUUUUAUUUCUUUCUUAUUUUUGUUUUGUCUGUUAGGUUUUGCUAUUAGUAUUAUACUGGCCUCAGAAAUCAGAAAAUAUUCCCUCUAGCUUAGUUUUUUGGAAGUGUUUUGAUAAAACUCACCAGUGAACCAUCUAAGUCUAGAGUUUUUCUGUAUUUUGAGGGCAGCUUUUUUUUUUAAAUAACAUAUUUGUUUUUUUUAAUAGGCAUUCAGAUUUCUUGUCAUCUUGUGGUAGUUUUAAAAUAUCUUUUUUUUAAUGUCUAUUUCACUUAAGUUAUUUUUGGCAUACAGUUGUUUAUUCUGACUUUUUACUUAGAUGUCUCUCCCAACAAGAGAAAACAAACCUCUCUGAGGCAGAGAUGAUUAUAUUCUUGACAUUUGUAUAAUACUCUACACUAAAAACAAAUGAUGAAACUGAUUCCUAGCUUUAUCUCAUUUUUUUCUAUUUUUAAAAUUCUUGAUAUACUUGUAUAUUUGUUAUCUUGUAUAUAUUUUUAGGAGUUCCUUCUGAUAUUGUGAAGAAGAGUUUAUUUUUAAUUCCAUGAAACAUCUUUUUGAUGUGCAUAAAUCCCUUUAAAUUUAGUAUUCUUUUCAUUGAAAUAGGAUCUUUAAAAAUGAUGUAUACUAGUAUUCUCUUUGCUACUCUUAGAUAUUAUUUACUCCUAAGUGUGAUUUAAUCUGUUUUCAUUCUAAUUUUGAAAUUCCAUUUUUUCAGUAGAGGACCCUACUUACUUCCCAGCAGUAUUAUAUUUUAAAAUAUUACCAUGCUAUUAGAAAAUUCACUAUAUUGCAGGAUGAUCAAGUAAGCAAUAUAUUUUGGUCUAAAUCUUUUGUUUAGAAAUAUUGUUAAGCAGCAUUACAAAUAUAAAGAAAAGUGACACACACAAUAGAUUUUUGGUUUUGAAAGGCUGACAUUACUGAUCUAUAAAAAUGGACAAUCCUGAUAUUUCCUCACUCAGUUUUGCUUGGAAAUUUUAGCUAAUACCAAGAGAAUAAUUUCUAAGCUCCAAAUUUUCAUAUAUACCACUUAUUCUAUGAAGAUUUUUUAUGUUAAUUGAUAACUUAUUGUUCUGUACUCUUAUAGUAUGUGGUAUACAUUUUUAUUAUAGCAUGUUUUACCUUGUAUUGUAACUAUUUGUUCAUCAUUCCUGGAAGAGUGUAUUGCUUGAGGCCAAGAACCAUAUGUGUUUAUUUAUUUGUUUUUAAUGUAAGUGCUAAGCAUGGUAUCUGUUGGAUAAACACCCUAUAUAUUUUUAUAAAAUCAGUGAAUACAAAUUUAAUACAAUAAGUUGUUGUAUUGAUUGUUAUUAAGGGUAUUCUUUUCCUCUCAAACAGCGUGCAGUUAAAAAAUUUAUUAUGCUAACAUCCAGCCAAAAUGUACCAGUGUUCCUUAUUGAUCCUUUGAUUCUGGAACUGAUUAGUAAAAACUUUGAACAAAUCAAAAAUACUUCUCAUGGCUCCACUUCAGAAUGCAAGUUUUUCUGUGUUCCGAGAGAAUUUACUGCAUUUGCACUACAGUAUCACCUGUGGAAGAAUGAAGUAAGUUGAUUGCUUUUAGAUAAUAUAAUAUUUGUCUUUCAAAAUAGUAUGGAAUUACACAAGUUUAAAAUGUAAAACACCUAAAAUAAUUCUUAAAACUUUGUAUAAAUUAUAUGAGGAGCUGGGCACAGUGGCACACACCUAUAAUCUCAGCAACUCGGAAGGCUGGGGCAGGAAGCUUAAGACCAAUCUAGGCAAUUUACUGAGACCAUGUCUCAAAGUAAAAAAUAAAAAGGACUGGGAUAUAGUUCAGUGUUAAAGCACCCCCUGGGCUUAAUCCCCAGUACCAAAAAUAUGAUAAAUUGCAUCAGGAAUAUUUGCAGCUAUGAGUAACAGAAUAUAAUUAAUAAUGGCUAAUGCAUAUAGUGCAUUUAUUUUUCUUGAAUAACAAGAGGUAAAAGGUUGGUGGCUGUAGUUAGUUCCACUGCCUACUGAUGUCAGGGCUAAGUGUCUUUCUUCCUUUUCCUCGUCAUUACAAGAUUGGUCUUACAGUUCCAGCUAUCGUGUCCAUGUUCAAAACAGAUGAGAAGAAGGAAUGGUAAUGCCAAUUUUUGAAGAAAAAUAUUUUGAAGAAGCUUAUGAUAAACUACUUUUUAUAUCUCACUGUCCAGAACUGUAAUCACAUGUCACCUAAUGGUGAGAGAGGCCUAAAAUGCAGGUAUUUAAUAUCUCCAUUAGUGUAGGGCAAGUAGGAAGAGAUUUAGUGAUGAAUUUUUAGUACAUAUUAUAUAAGGUGGACAAGACUAUAUUCUUUCCGUUUUGUAAGUGUGCAGUACUUGUUUGAUUCUCAAGUGAAAUACUUUUUAAAUGUGCCCAAAACUAUGAAUUUAAUCUGCUUUAUGGUUAUCAAAGUUAAAGUCAGAUAGCAGUCAGCAAAAAAAAAAAAACAGGAAGUGUCUCAAAAUUUUGCUUACUUCUUAACAUAGUUUGGAUAUGGUUUAUAAGUGUUUUCCAGAGAUUCAUGUUUUGAAAGCUUGAUCUCCAGAGUAUUGAUUAGGAGGUGGGGAACUUUUGAGUGGGUAGGCCUAAUUGGGGGUGAUUGAGUAUCUUGCCCCCAGAAGGGAUUAGGUAGUUCUUGCAAGACCCUAAAUCAGUUUUUACGAGAACGUUGUAAUAAAAAGGGCAAGCCUGGCCCCACCUAGCUUUCUGUCUUCCUGUUUUAAAAUAUUUUCUCUUCUUCACAUACACACUCUUGUCUUUUACCAUGGGGUCUUUGUCAGAACCAGAGCUAUGCUGUUUUGACUUCCAACUCCCAUAAUUAUAAGUUAAAUAAAAACCUCUUUCCUUUGUAAAGUCAGCCUGCAUCAGGCAUUUUAUUAUGGUAAUGCAAAAUAGACUGAUAUAACUUCUAAGUUCCAGAUUUCUUUAUUUUUCAUUCCUAGGAAUUAUGCAAAUAAGAAAAUGAGCAUCAGAUUAAAUGAACAUAACUAGUCAGCCACAAUGGGAUAUGUUUUAGUUGUUUUGACCCCUGGUAGGCAGGGCUUACUUUCCAGAGUGAUAGGGAUAUCUGGGAAAACACUAUAAGCUGCACAGACCCUUGAUUACCUCAAACUCUUGCACAGAGCAGCAUCAAGAGAAUGAACUGUGUUUUCUGGCCUCUGGUUUUUUCCAGGCAAUGAUGUAAGUGUUAAACAGAUAAAUACAUCAUUUUUGUUUGCUUAUUUUUUCUUAUUUUAUAUUUUGAAAGUGUUUAAACUUAUGGAAAAGUUAAAAUGUGAUAUUUUAAAUUCAGUUUUUAUUUUUAAGCAAAAUAAUGCUAGUACUAAUUUAAAAAGUGAAAUAGUAGUGGAGGUGUAGUGGUUCAUGCCUGUAAUAACAGUGACUCGAGAGGCUGAGACAGAUGGAUUCCAAGUUCAAGGACAGCCUGUCUGAAAAUAAAAAAUAAAAAUGGCACUCAUUGGUAGUGUACCCCUGGGUUCAAUCCUCAGUUUUAAAAAAAGAAAAAAAAAUCACUUAAUACAAAGCUCUUGAUUAAAAAAAAAAAAAGGAGCUUCUCUUAUUCCUACUCUUAGAGCCAACCACUUUGACUUUUUCUACCCUGUUUAUCUUCUCAUUUAUAAAUGUUUACAUUUAUCUUAUUAAUAUUUCAUUUAGAUGAUGAGUUAUAAAGUUUUAAGAGUUUAGCUCUUGUAUUUACUCUUUCAUAUAUAUAUAUAUAUAUUUGGGUGGGAUUCAGCUGGACGAUUAUAGUCUCAUCUAAGCUCACUCAUGUAACUGCUUCAGGAUAGCUGGCUGUCAAAUGGGGCAGUGGAGGUGCCAGAACAAUGUGUCUUUCAUGAACCAGACUAGUUCAGGCUUAUUCACAAAGCAGUAAGAAAGCAAAAGCAUGCAAGGUCUCUUGACAUUGUUUAAACAUUGGGAUUUCUCAUUCAUGAACAUUAAGUAUAUCUCCUUUAGUUCUCCUUUCAUUCUCUUUAAUAGAAUAUUAUAAUUUUCUUAGAGAUUUUGCUCAUUUUUGGAUAAUUUAUUUUUCGCUACCUUGUAGUUUUUAAUUGGGGAUCAGGGAUACAGGUAAGAUAUUUUUCUGUUUCUUUUUCCAGUUCAUUAUUAUAGGUGUAUGAGACUGCUGUUGACUUUUGUAUUUUGUUUCCAGAUCUUGUUUUCUAGCUACUGUACUGAACUCUGUAGGUACACUUCAGUGGUUUAUUCGUUUUCUUUCUUUCUCUCCAUAAAGACUGAUCAGAUAAGUAUAUUGUUUACAAAAAAAGACAAUUCGGUCUUUUUCUCUUAAACUUACUUAGGUAGGAUCUCUAGCAAUUGUGUUGAAAACGUGUUCUUUCUGAACUUUUUUUAUAUGGAUGAUGGACUUGCAGAAUUGAUCCUCCAAUUUUCUUAUCUUUGCUUGUGAUUUUCUCCCUUUUUCCAGCUGUUCUAUUUUUUAACAAAAUCUUUAAUUGUGCCAUUGAUUUUUGUCAUAUUUUUAUUUAUUCUUUUUAGAUAUACAUGACAGAGUGUAUUUUGACAUAUUUUACACACAUGGAAUAUAACUUCUCAUUCUUGUGCUUGUACAUGAUGUGGAGUUACAUUGGUUGUGUAUUCAUGUAUGCACAUAAGAAAGUUAUGACCAGUUCAUUCUACUGUCUUUCCUAUGCCUGUCCCCUCUCUCUUCUCUUCAUUCCCCUUUGUCUAACCUAGGGAACUUCUAUUCCCCCUCGCUUAUUGUGUGUUAGAUCCACGAGUGAACAUUUGGCCUUUGGUUUUUUGGGAUUGGUUUAUUUCACUUAACAGGAUAGCCUUUAGUUCCAUCUAUUUACAGAAAAAUGACAUAAUUUCAUUCUUCUUUAUGGCUGAGUAAUAUUUCAUGGUGCAUAUAUACCACAUUUUAUUUAUCCAUUCUUCUAUUGAAGAGUACCUAGUUUGGCGCCAUAGCUUAGCUAUUGUGAAUUGAGCUAAUAUAAAUAUUUUUGUGGCUGUGAUACUUUAGUAUGCUAAUUUUAAGCCCUUUGGGUAUAUGCUGAGGAAUAGGAUAGCAGGGUCAAAUGGUGGUUCCAUUCCAAAUUUUCUGAGAAAUCACCAUACUGCUUUCCAGAGUGGUUGCACCAAUUUUCAGUCCCACUAGCAAUGUAUGAGUGUACCUUUUUCCCCACAUCCUUGCCAACAUUUAUUUUUACUUGUAUUCUUGAUAAUUACCAUUCUGACUGGAGUGAGAUGAAGUCUCAGUGUAGUUUUAAUUUUCAUAUCUCUAAUUGUUAGUGGUGUUGAACAUUUUUUAUAUAAUUUUUGUAUUUUGUCAUAUUUUUGUUUGAAAUUUGCAUAUUUUCUAAAAGCUUCUUAUGCUCUGUUCCUUAAUGUGUUAUUCUGUUUUUGCUUCAGGGAUACAGUUUAAUCUUUAAAAUGCCCUGUACAUUUUAAAGGUUUACUUCUAAAAUGUUUUUUGAUCUUUACUGCAUUUUGUUUUGCUAAAUCCCUUCUUUGUUUUCUGGUAUUUUUAUCUUAUUUUGUUUGUGUUUUUUAUGAUAUAGAUUUUAUAUAAUUGUUGAUCUUUGUUCAUAUUUAAGAAUAAGAAACUUUAAUUCUAUUGGAUUUUUUUUUUAAUGGUCAGGUCUCAUUAACUGUUUGACUACACUAUAGAGCAUGCUUGUUUUUUCAUUGGAGAAACUCCUAAAUGUCAGUUUUUGUAGAUCAUUUCUAUGGGCUAUUUGAUUCUUCUCAUAAAAAGGCCUUACAAGGCUUAGAAGCCAGUACAGAGUAUUCUAUAUUUAUUUUCCUAAAACAAAAUUUGUAGAAAUUACAAGCUUCCAAUACACAUAAUCUCCCAAAUCAAUCUAAUGCCUUAACUAUAAUAUAAUAUAAAAAUUAAAAGAACUAGUGUAUGUUUUAUUGUGUAAAUACUCAACCAUGACUACAUUGGAAAACAUAAUAAAACAAUUCAGAUGCUUGUAUUUAUAAGUAGGGUCACAGACUCCACAAAUUCUUACUUUUAAUGUUGUUAGUAGUCUCAUUUUACAAAGCAGUGAACAAAAAUUUCCAACAACAAAAAAUAAAAUUGUAUCUUCACUAGUAUGGCUAUUGUAUUGUUGAGAAAUUAGGGCUCAGAUAAUUGUAAACAUGUUUUUCACUCUGUGAUCAUCUUAAUAGGAUAUUUGAAAUUAUAUAGGACAAAGGAUAGAUUUUCAUAUUUUAGAUUAUAGAAUGUCUAGUGGUUCUGAUGUAGACUUCUAAAUGACAAUUUUCCAUUAUGAUAAACCAUGAAUAUGCCCACAAAUUUCAAAAAUAUCUGAUACCUUCAGAACUACUGCUUUGGAAGAAAAGAAAUCUUCUCCAGCUGGCAAAACUGAUAAGACUAGAGUCAGUGGAAGAAGCAAAAGGUCAGCUAUGCAGAAUAUAAGCAUACUUGUUCCAAGUUUAUCCUUUUAUGUAGAUGACAUACAGACCCCUUGGAUAGUCCUCCCUAAAACUUCCCCCAAAGUGGAGCUAACUGUGGACUUCAUUUUGCAUGUGAUUUUUUUCUUUACUAAUAUCAUCACCAAGUGAGCAAACAGCUUCCAAGGCAAAUGGAAGUUUUGUGUUGAACAGUCUUGACUGAGGCCUUUACUCUGCUUGGUCAAAAUGAUUACUUUAUUCUUGACUUUUCUUUCUCAUUGUUAUAAAAAGGCAACCCUUAUAGUUCUGCCUAGUUUGUCAGUCUUCCUCUCUUCCCUCAAUCGUGGUCAGAUUUCUCUUAAGAUCUAGCUGACCUAUUUAAUUUUUCCUGAAUUUAUCAACUCAUAAUGCUUUUCUUUCAUCUAUACCGUAGUGCUUUUCUUUGAAUUGGCAAUACUCACCCUCAGUCAGUAUUUUCCAAAUUUUAGGGGUACCAAGAAAGAAAAGGAGUUCUGUAGUUGAUAAUUAUAAUUAAUAAAGGAAAAUCAGGUGAAAUUGCAUCUUGGAGUUCUUUUCUUUCAUAUAUGGAGAUGUAAGAAGAAUAUGGAAGAUUCUUUGGGAUAUUGUGAGGCCAGUCCUGGAAGUGAUGUAUGAUACUUGUGUCUACAUUCUUUUGACCAGAAUACAAGUUAGCUCUAUAUAGAUAAAUGGCAGGACACGUUUUCUUGUUACUAGUUAAUAUUCUGUACCAAACUUAUCAUCUUCUCUCAAUUAACAAUAUAAACAACAAUAAAAUAUCUUUUGACUACCUUCUGGAUUCUAGAUAUGUUGAUUCAUGUAUUAGAGGAAAUUGAGUCUAUUAAUGGUGUUUAAUCAUUGAAAGAAACAAUUAAAUGACAUUACAAUAAAUAGUACAAUACAGGUGUAUUUAAUGAGAGCAUAGAUGAAGGUAGAACAAAUUCAAAUGACAACAUUGAAAAACCCAUAGAAAGUACUCUUGAAAAAUAUUUCUGAAUGCCGUGGUCAGUAAGACAAGCUUUAGGACACAGACCAUCAUCACAUACCUUAAUAUCUGGUAUUAAUUACUUCUUCAAGCUUUAUUUUUCUUGCAUAAUAGACUAUGUAUAAUACUAUCUUCCUUGCUGAUCUUACAUGGUUUCUGUAGAUAUCAAAUGAGAUGAUGAAUUGAACAAACUUUGUACACAUUGUAUAAACCAGAGAGGUAAUGUUAUAGUUGAAAGGAAUUUGGAUUUUUUUGGAUAAGACCUUGGUGCUUUUAGUGGCUUUGAGCCAUAUUAGUUAUGUUUCUUUAGACAGGAAAACUGCUGUGAGUCUAUCUAUUAUGUAUUACAACUUAAUGAGACCCCUGUCUCUAAAUUAGAAAAAAUAUUUUAAAAGGGGAUGUGGCUCAGUGAUUUAGCACCCCUUAGUUCAAUCCUCAGUACCAAAAAAAAAAAAAAAAAAUAUUAUACUCUAAAGAUGUUGAAAAAUGUACAGAAUGUUUCAGUCUGUUUUCUAAAGAUUUGCAUUAGGUUGGGUUUUAUUGUAACAUUUUAAACUGUUAAGAUAUAAGAAUUGCAAGUUUAAUUUUAUGCUGUACUAAUAUUAAUGUUAACUAACCAUAGAACACUAAAAUGAGCAUUCUCAUUCCAAAGAAGAAAUACGUAUUAAUUUUCAUAGAGUUCUUAUAUAUAACUUCUAUGCUACAUAUUUUCUUCUUUAUUCUAUUCUGUUCAACCCCCUCAUUUCUAAAUCUUCUGGCAGUGAGUAGAUUAGUACAAAAAUAUGACUUAACUCAGUGUAAUAGUCAUUAGUGCUACUAAUAUUUUGUUUUAAAUAUUCAAGUUUGAUGUUUAUUCAAUUCCAAUAGGAAGGCUGGUUUCGGAUAGCUGAAAAUAUGGGAUUUCAAUGCCUAAAGAUUGAAAGCAAAGAUCCUCGGCUAGAUGGGAUAGACUCACUUUCUGGAACUGAAAUCCCCCUGCACUAUAUCUGCAGAUUGGCCACUCAUGCCAUCCAUUUGGUGGUCUUUCAUGAAAGAAGUGGCAACUACCUCUGGCAUGGCCAUCUACGACUCAAAGGACACAUUGACAAGAAAUUUGUUCCUUUUCGAAAGUUACAGUUUGGUCGUUAUCCUGGUGCUUUUGACAGGUAAGUUUAGAGCCAAAGCCAAUAAAUGUUGUCCAUAGGUAGGUUCUUAUACUUUUUUUUUUUUUACAUUUUAUAAUGAAAUCUAAUAUAUAAUUCAAACGAAUGUUCAUAAUAACAUUGUUCUUAAUGCUUCUAAAUGAAAAGCAAUAAAAAGAUAAAUUUAUCUAUAUGUAUUGUGUUUGUGUGUGUGUGUGUGUGUGUGUGUAUAAAAUAUAGAGUGAAGUAUUCUACAGCAGGUAAAUGAAUGGACUACAGCUCUAAACAAUAGCAGGGAUAAAUCCUACAAUGUUGAGUGACACAAACAAGAUAGAGAAGAAUAAAAAUAUUAUGAUUAUAUUUAUAAAAAGCUCAAAUCCAGGAUAAAUUAUGUUCAUGGAUAUAUACUUGUAUAUUUAGUAUUAAGAAUACUAUAUAGGGACUGUGGUCAUGGCUCAGUGGUAGAGCACUUGCUUCACACGUCUGAAGCACUGGGUUUGAUCCUCAGCACUACAUAAAAAUAAAUAUAGGCUGCCGUGGUGGUGCACGCCUGUAAUGGCAGUGGCUCAGGAGGCCUGAGACAGGAGAAUGGAAAGUUCAAAGCCAGCCUCAACAACGGUGAUGCAAGGCACUAAGCAACUCAGUAAGACCCUGUCUCUACCCUCAUUGUUAUACAAAAUUACAUAUAAGAGGAAGUGAGGGGAAAGGGGAAAAAAAGAAAUAAAAAACAAGAGAGAUAAAUGAAUUACGGUAGAUGGGGUAGAGAGAGAAGAGGGGAGGGGAGGGGAGGGGAGGGGUGAUAGUAGAGGAUAGGAAGGGCAGCAGAAUACAACAUACACUAGUAUGGCAGUAUGUAAAAACGUGGAUGUGUGACCGAUGUGAUUCUACAAUCUGUAUACGGGGUAAAAAUGGGAGUUCAUAAUCCACUUGAAUCAAAUGUAUGAAAUAUGAUAUGUCAAGAGCUUUGUAAUGUUUUGAACAACUAAUAAUAAUAAUAAUAAAAAGACCCUGUCUCUAAAUAAAAUACAAAAUAGCACUGGGGAUGUGCCUCAGUGCCCAAAUACCCUGAGUUCAAUGGUUGGUACCCAAUAGAUAAAUAAAUACAUAAAAAGAUAUUGUGUCCAUUCACAACUAAAGAAAAUUUUAAAAAAAUACUACACAUACUUAGUAUUAAGAAUAAGGAAUAAGUAAUGGGAAAAAAAGAUAGGUUUUAUUUCUAGGGAGAAUGGAGGGAAUAUAUAGAAAACUGGAUACAUAGAAAACUGAAAGGAAGCUAACAAGAUUCAAUUUCUGUGGUGGAGACAUGGGUGUUUGUAAUUUAUUAUUUUGUGCCUUUGUCUUAUGCAAUUUCUUAUAUAAUUUUAUGUGUUUAUUAGUGCUUUAUAGUUGUACAUUAUGGGGGGUUCAUUUUGACAUAGUCGUACAUGCAUGGAAUAUAUAAUUUGCUCCAUUUCAGUCCCAAAUACUUCCUUUGUCCCUCUCCUUCUCCCCCUACUGCUGCCUUUCCUCUACUCUACUGGUCUUCUUUCUAUUUAUUUUGUUGUUGUUGUUUUUUAAAUUUUAGCUUUAUAGAUAUUCAGAUAUAGAUAUAUAAAGGUCAAAUAUGUUGUGGCAUAUUCAUAUAUGUACAUAGCAUAAUUUUGUCAUUUCAUUCUAUUGUUGAACUCUAUAUAGAAGUAUGUCCUUUGUUAUCUUAGUAAUAGAAAUGUUUCUUAAUGAGAAGCAGUUAUUUGAAGGGAUCCAUGUAAAAUUUGAUAGUUAUAUUAGCAAUUACUGAAUUUAAAAAAUCUUGAAAUUAGAUAAUGAACUUGAAGUUUCUAACCCAGAGUUAUACUUUUCUUCCCCUUUUGAAGUCACUAAUAGUGAUCUUACGGUUUGUAUUAAAUAUCAUAAUCUUAUAUUCAGGUAGCAAAUAUUUAUCAUUUGCCUUAAAGUUUGACAUCCUUGUAAGAAUUUUCAAAUUAUAAUCCUUUCUUGGAAACUUCCAGAGAGACAAUGCUUAUCUGUUACACUUGAAAACUAUUUUUUUGCCCUCUUAUUAGUAUCUAAAAUCACAUAAUUGAGAAACGACUGAAAAAAUUAUCCAAAACUGAAGCUGUCUACACUUUUUUUUUAAUAUACCUUUAAUUUUUAUUUAUUUAUUUUUGUGUGGUACUGAGGAUCAAACCCAGGGCCUCACACGUGUGAGGCGAGUGCCAUACCGCUAAGCCACAACCCCAGCCCCUAUCUACGCUUUUUGUGUAGGUAAAGUCCAACCUUUCCUAAACCAAACCAAGUUUUUAGCAGUAAAAUGACCAAUAACAUUAUAGGGGGUAGUGAAAAAUAAUUUGUUGUUAAUAUUGGCUCCUCUUAUUAUUUUAAUCAUAAUUGUAGGGUUCUCUGGCCAAUUCUAUGCAUAUUUUUUUCAUUAUAUAUUUCAAAUAAGUUUCUUUAGGAAAACAUCUUUUAGUUUGUUUUGUAAAGUCUCAUGAGUUUAUUUCAAAGUUUCAUUAAUAAUUUAUCGAAGUUCAGGAUUGUCAGUCAACAAAUACUUAUUAAAUAUAUUUGCCAAUAGAUAAAAGCCAUCACUAUUUGUAAGAUUUUAUAUAAAGAGGAAUGGAAAACUCAAGGAAUAUUUUUAGAAUGGGGGGGUCCAAAAUAUACAUGGCUGAUUCCCACAUAGCAUUUUGCCUGUUAAUGAGUUCUAGACUAUUUUAAUUAUUCAAAAGAACAUUUAUUUCUUUAGAAGUAAAUCAGUAGUUUAAAACUAAAUCAUUUACCUUUCUUUUUUGUCAAAAAUACUGAAGUAUGUAUGAACAAAUAUAGAAAUAUUUUAAAAUAUAUGAGCCAAAUACUUAAAACUCAGUUGCUGUUUGAUGUCAGAUUUUCAAAGUCAUAUUAAAGUUACUAAUUGGUACCUGAGAAAGAAAACACACUUCGUAAGCACAAAUGAUGAAGAUGGGAACAAACCUCACAGACCAGCACUGUCUUUUAUUCAGCAGCAGAGUCAAACAUCGGAUGGGCUUACUUUCUGGAUAGAAAAUGGCCACCUGUUACAGAAGGGGUCUGUGUUUACAAUGAGGGUGGCUUAAUCAUUGGAGAAUGAAGCAGAAUGUGUUGGUUUGAGCAGUCAGGAUAAAAGCUGUAAAAAAUUCAAAACUUAUUAUUAGUGGGAAGGGAUGAAAGCUCAGAGCCCAGCAUUCAUUGCUUAUCUUCUUCCUCCAGGAUCCAUUGUUACUCAGAGCUUUAUUGUUUCCUUUUUUUCUUCUAGGACUCUUUGGCAAUGGGAAAGGGUGAAAGUUCAGGGUCUAGCACUCAGUCCCUUCAGGACUCAGUGUUACUAGGAAGGAUUAAUAUUUGCCUUAUUUUCUCUCCCUCCUCCCUAGUCGCAUUGUCUUUGGGGUUGUCAUUUUCCAUAUUCUUCACACUUGAUAUUUAUCUAUUUUGCUAAUGUUUAAUAUUUUAUAGAGACUGCCAGUGUUCUGAAUUAUUUACUUAUAAUCUUAACUUUUGUUUUCAGGCCAGAAUUACAGCAAGUUACUAUUGAUGGACUAGAAGUUCGUAUUCCAAAAGAUCCAGUGCACUUUCUGGAAGAAAUACCACACUCUAGGUUUAUUGAGUGCAGGUAUAAAGAAGCUCGAGCAUUCUUGCAGGUUAGAGACAACCAAAUAUUAUACUUUUAAAUUAAAGGAAAUAUGCUUAUUUUUAAUAUUUUAGGGGGAAAAUGAAAGGACUUAUGGACAAUAGGUGAAACAUAAGUUAAUACUUAUUUUUUUUUUUUUAAAUAGACUUUGAUGGGUUUACCAUUGGUCUCUGCCUUUAGUUGCAAUAGCUUAUAAACUUGAUAGAAGAUGGUAGAUUAUCUUUCUGAAGCAAUCCAGGAAGAAUGAGGUUACUCUAGAAGAUGGACCACAUGGAUUUAGAAAAUAUUUUUCUGAAAAAAAAAUUUCAGAGUUUUUCUGCUGAAUAUGAAUUUUUGUGUUCAUAAGGAGUUUUUGAAGGCAAAUGCUACACAAAAACCAAUGCUUUUUGAACUUUACUUUAUUCUGUUGCUCUAGCUUUCAAUGCAGUGAACAUUUAUUGAAAGCCUGUUUCCUAGGCUUCUGGCCCUGGGCAUAUAAAAUGUGAUUUUGAAGGGCAAGAAAGUUCGACUUUAAGAGCUAACAUGAAAUCAGAGAUAAAGUGAAAACAGACAAAAUGACAGUGGGGUUUUGGUACCCUAGUCCUGAAACUUGCCCCUUUAUUUUCUGGGGUUCUCUACCACAACAACAACAACAAAACCUGCACACACAAGGAGGAACAGAAUCAUAAAAUGAAGUACCAGCUUUAUUAUUGUUGCUAAGUGCCUAAGACCACAAAUACAAGGUUUCUCUGAUAUGAUCUGCUGGCACUAAAGCCUAGGCCUGGCAGCCUGAAUGGGCCUUCCUAGCCCUCUUUCUUUAGAAUUGUUACAGCAGGGUUAUAAAAUUUACUGAGCUUCAUGGAUAAAAAACUAAAAAAUCAUAUGUGUGGUUGGGCUUACUCUUGUAGGCAAGGGCUGCCCAGCAUAACCUACCACAUGGUAUCAGGAAGCAGAAGAGAGUUUGGUGCUUAAACAAGACUCACUCUUCCUGCCUUAAGGAAAUUGCUCUGGUUGCCACCUUUGUCAUGGCAUUUAUCACAGUGUUUUGCAAAUGUCUAUCUUAUCACCCCACUAAAUUAUGUGUAUUUCUUGAUGAUAAUUUUCUUAUUCACCUCUGGAGCCCCAGUAUCUAUCACAGUAUGUGACACAAAGAAAAUAUGCAAAAAUACAUGGAGAAUUCGUGCUUAUCUGAAUCAAAUGAUUUUUUUUUUUGAGACCUAACAAGCAUUUGCCCACUCAUUUGCCUUUCUCAUUUGUGAAAAGACAGCACAAAAUGUAAAAUGAUUCACAAUAACUGAAAAAAUAAUGUGGAGAGUAUCAUACUUUUUUUUUUUUUUCUUUUUUUGGUACUACCAGAGAUUGAACCCAGGGGAAUUUAAUCACUGAGCCACAUACCUAGACCUUUUUAUGUUUUAUUUUUAGACAGGGUUUUACUAAGUUGCUUACGGUCUAGCUAAGUUGCUGAGGCUGGCUUUGAACUUGUGAUCCUCCUGCCUCAACCUCCUGAGCCACUGGUAUGAUAGGUAUGGGAUUACAGGUGUGCAAUGACAGCUGAUACUUUCUAAUUCUAUAUUUCUUAUCCCUGGUUUUGAAAUAUUAAAGCAAACAAUCAGCAUUUAAGUAAAGAACAUGGAUAAAGGAUGUUCAAAGUGCAAAUCAGCUUAUAGCCUUAUCAUUCGGGUGUUUAAAGUACCAUCCAAAAGCAAAACUGUAAUGCUGUUUGUAGGUCAUAUUCAUGACACAAACAGAUGGAACUUUGUAUUCAUCCACAAUGUUUUUCUAUAUCAUUCACUCACAAUGAGGCAGAUUUGUGAUACCUAAUUUGUUUUUUUCUCUUGCUAAUGUAUUGGUAUUAUUGAAUGGUGUUGAUAACAUUUUUUUAUCCUUAUCCUCUUAAAUGUUUCCUUCAUUAUUUCUUAUGUUAGAACCAUGAUUAAAAAAUAACCAGGAGAGUAUGUUUUCCAAUUGAAGUGAGCAUGUAUAUAUUUGAACACUUGAUGGCGCCAAAUAGUCUUAAAUAUAAUGCCCAAACUGUGAAUUCAUCAAAUAAACUUACACUGUAGACUCCUAAUUUUUUUUUUUUUUUUCAGUUUAAGGCAGACACAACAUCUUUAUUUUAUUUUAUGUGGUGCUGAGGAUCGAACCCAGCGGCCCCGCUCAUGCCAGGCGAGCAAGUUACCGCUUGAGCCACACCCACAGCCCCUAAAUUUUUUUUUAAUAAUGAUUUUUAAACAAUUUCAGGCUUAGAUAAAAGUUGUGAAUACAAUACAAAUAGCAUUUUGAGUAUGCUGUAGAUCAGAUGUUCCACCAACUCAAAUAAGUUAGCAUUUUCUAAAAACAAGAAAAAUUAGGAAAUUAAAUGGACAUAUUUAGGAAAAAUUAAAUGGACAUAUUUAAAUUACCACUUACUCCCAUUGAAAUCCUCAUAAUUAUCUCAUUAAUGACCUUUAUAAUAAAAAGGAACAUGUACUAAUUUUCCUGUCUCCUUAGUCUCCUUCUGUUUGGGGUUUCUCAGUUCUUUUAUUACUCUCAUGACCUUGAUACUUUUGAAGAAUAUGGUCCAGAUAUUUUGUAAAAUGUCACUCAUUUGAGGGUUUAUCUGAUUUUUCCUCAUGUUUGAUUCAGAUUAAACAUCUUUACAAGGAAUACACAGAAGUGUAUGCCAUCAGGUGCUGCCUGAUUUUGAUUUGUCCCAUUGCUGUUUAUGUUCAUAUCAUGAACUUGAUUUGUUUUAUCUACCAGCCUCACAUUAAGUUUCUAUUUUUUCCUUAUUAACACCCAGUGUGAAGUUACUUUAUAGUCUUCUUCAGACUUUUUUUUUUUUUUUUUUUUGCAGUGCUGAGGAUUGAACCCAGGGACUUGUACAUGCUAGGCAAGCAGCCUACCACUGAGCCACAUCCCUAGACUUCCUUGUCAAACUUUCAUUUGUUUUUAUCAGUGUAGACUCAAGGUUUCCUAUUUUAUUUAAGGGAUUAGAUUAUAUUCUUAAAAUUUUAACAUAACAAGAUGUUCUAGGCUUUUUAUGUAAUUUCCCCUCCCCAAGACUGGGAUCAACUUUUUCUCUGAUUUCUGGUUCUUUAAAGAACCUGUUUUAGUAAAUUAUUUUGCUACUGUGACUAAAGGACCUGACUAGAACAAUUUUAGGGGAGAAAAAGUUUAUUUGAGAGCUCAUGGUUUCAGAGGUCUUAAUCCAUAGAAGGCUGGCUCCAUUUCUUGGGGCUCAAGGUGAGGCUGAACAUCCUGGUGGAAGAGUGUGACUGAGGGAAGCAGCUCCCAUGAUGGUGACCAUGAAACAAAGAGAGACUCCACUCAACCAUAUACAGAUAAAUAUACCCCAAAGUCAUGCCCCAAUCCCUACCUUCUAGCCACAUUUUACCACUUCAGUUACCACUCAGUUAAUCCCUUUCAGGAUUAAAUCACUGAAUAGGUUAAGACUUUACAACCCAAUCAUUCUCCCCAGAACCUUUUUUUAUUGUGUUACAUGUGAGCUUUUGAGGGACAUCUCACAUCCAAACCACAAUAGAAGCCAGAAUCUGGUAUCCAUUGCUAUUUGGUUUUCCUACACACAGGCCCUCUCAGUGGACAGGGGUAUGGUGUGUAUCUCUAUAUUUUAUCUUUUUCUACUAAAAUCUGAAUUCACAUCAUUAUCUCUAUUCCAGGUACAUUAUAAAUUUCAACUGAAACACAUAGGGUUCAUUUUUGUAUUUCUGGCUCCCUUUUUAACUUCCAUUGUUCUUAGUAUAUUUACUUAUUUGUUUAGUAUUCCCAUAUAUAACCAAUCUCUUGACAGACCCCCUCCCCAUGUGGAUGUUUUUCUCACCCUGCCAUGGACGUUGCUGCCCUUGUUGGGCUGCUCCUCUGUGUAGGCACCAUUGUCACCCUACUCAGUCUCUGAAUUCCUGCAUCUGGCUGCUCACCUGCAGGGUGGAUCUCCCUAACCCUGAGUGGCUCUGACAUCCCAUAAUACUAGGCCAUCCCUAUGCACAAAAACCUCUAUUGCUCUGCCCUCCCUAAUGGCUCUUGCAUUGAAUAGUUCAGGAAGGAAGAAGAGGAAAUUUUCUCCUGACUCUAUUUACUUUUAAUUAUUUUCACAAAUCACCUACAAAGUUCAGAAUUAGGAUACUAUACAUUUUUCUAAACUUGAUUUUUUUCACAGGAAAAAAAUGCAUUACACAAUAAUUCAUAAGCUUCACCAAUUGAAUUUCAGUGAAAAAUCAAAGGGAAUCUGGAAAUAUCUGGAUAACUGACCUAGGAAUAUCUAGACAGUUACAUUCUUGUUCUUUUACUAAUUUGCUCGGAGAUCUCCGGAAAAUAUUUGAGCCUUGGUUUCCUUGUCCAUAAAAUGAGUAGGUACAUCCUAUCAUGUUAUUCUUCUUUGAUAUUUUGGAGAUCUUUCUGGAUCCCAGGAUUCUUGUCUGUUCAUUGGCUAAACAGGAAAAAUUAAAUGGACAUAUUUAAAUCAUGAUACUAAAUUUUGUCUUUUUCAAGAGGCAUAGACCAUAUCGGGCAAAGAAAACAACAUAUAUAAAGUCAUAGAGGCUAGAAAAAUUGUAGUAUAAUUAGAAAGUUACAUUUUAUUGCUGCAAAAUGAAUUGUAAGGAGGGCGGAGGUUAGAUUGGACCAAUAGUAAGGGACCAGAACAUAAUGUCCUUGUCUCCUAGGCCAAAUAAUUUAGGUCUUUGUCCUGUAGUUAGUGAAGCAUCACUGAAGAAUUUAUAGUGCUUUCCUCAGUCCUAAAACUCUAAACAUGAAAAAAAUCAGAAAAACAAGAAAACUGAGUAAAUGAUGAUAAUAUUUAUAUAAAACUUCACCUUUUACAAGGCAUUUUCCUCCUUAAAUCUGCCCAGCAAUCAUGUAAGUAUAAUUAUUAUACUCAAUUACAGAUGAGAAAAUUAGAUCUAAGAGAGGUUUGUUUAUUCUUUCAUUCUCUCAUUGAUUCAACAAAAAUGCAGGCUCUGUUCUAGUCACUGGGAAAUAUGUCAUAAAUAGCAUGAAGUAACCUUCUUCACUGAACUUAUUUUCUUCCAGGAUUAUAUGCAGAAGGUCAUAGCUAAAAAGAAAUGAUCAUAAAUUUGAACACAUAUAAUUUGAUUCAAAAUCCUCUUUCCUCUUUACUAUGCAGUUUUUAAAGGACAGUAGCAUCAAUGAAUGAUGAAAGCAUCAUUUAAUUUAUUUUGCUUCAGUUAUACUUGUAACUAUCUUAAUUAGCCUUCUUUUCCCCCUAAUUGCCCACCCUGCCAAAUUGUGACUGGAAGGAGGAAGUUGAUAAAAGUAUAAGUGUAUUCCUUCUUGAUCUCUCCUAAAAACUACUCUUAUAUUCUUAUUUUAAUGUGUGACUAAGAAGUAACUAUAAAACUUGAUAUUUAUUAUAGAAAAUAUAUAUAAUAUGGGGUUAAUUACCAGAUAUAAUUCAGAUGUCACAGAAAUGUUUCCAGCAAUUUGGAAAUGGCUCUAAUAGCUGACUAUUGUUUAUUUAAUCUGUAGCAGUACCUUGAUGAUAACACUGUGGAAGCUAUGGUUUUUCGGAAGAGUGCUAAGGAAUUAUUGCAACUAGCAGCCAAAACGUUAAAGAAAUUGGGAGUGCGCUUUUGGCUGAGCAGUGGAACUUGCUUAGGUAAAAUUCUUCCUGCUUUAUGUUUGUCUUCUCGUCAUUUAUCCUUUUUUGUCUUUAGGGAUAACCAAUUAAGUUGAUAAAACAUUAGUGACAUUCACAGUGUAAUAUUUAUAGACCGAGUAAACAUUUAUGCAUGCAGCAAAGAUCAAUAUUGAUUUUUUUAAAGAAAAUUAAUUUCAGAAAUAUAAAGUAGAAUUUUUGGAAGACUAUGUUUGUAUUUACCAAACAGUGUAAGUAACGUGUAUAAAAUUUACAUCAGAAUAUGUAUGGAGACUAUAGUUCAUUUUCAGGUAAUCUUUAAACUAGCAUUUUAUUAUUUCUAUUCUAAAGAUUGUUUUUUGCUUUUUAAAAAAACUCAUAUUUUUUUAACUUAUAUAUCUAAUGAGAGGAAGAGUGAAAGGGGUGUCAUAAGGUAUACAGACCUUUUCCAUAUCAUUCAGAGUAUCACUGAUUAGAUAACAUUAUUCAUCAGCAAGGGAGAACUACAGACUUUUCUGUAGUCCUUAGACAAGUUGCUAUUAGAAUCUAAGAAAAAUUUUCAAAUCUAUGACCACUAUUCAUUAGAUCAGACUUCUUUGGAAUUUAGAAUUAUUUAGAAUCUUAAAAGUUGUUCUAUUUUUGUUUCCUGUUAUUAAAACUAUGGUUGAUUGUAGCUGUAUUCAUUGUUUCUUGAUUAGAACUUCACCUUCUGCUUUCAUAGAGUUGCCAUAUAAUUUAUUGUUCAAAUAAGGAUACCUUUGAGAGUGAAAUGAAAUGCCAUAGCUAUUUAUUCUGGUACAACAGGUAUAAACUCUGAUAUGUGGUUAUCCUUCUGUUGGGCCACAUUGGACGAUUACAUGAUUCUUUCUAUCAAGGAGCUUACAACUAGAAUAAGCUAAAAGAGGAACAUUGCUCACACAAGUGUUUGGUAUUUGCUUUAAGGUUUAACUGUAGAAGCAAAGUUGUGUUAUAGUCUGUGUCAUUAAAAAUACUUCUUGGAGCUGGGGAUGUGGCUCAAGCGGUAGUGCGCUUGCCUUGCAUGCAUGCAGCCUGGGUUCAAUCCUCAGCACCACAUAUAAAUAAAGAUGUUGUGUCCGCCGAAAAAUAUAAAAUAAAUAUUUUUUAAAAAUUCUCUCUCUCUCUCUCUCUAAGAAAAAAAAAAUACUUCUUAAACAUUUUUGUCAUAGCAGGGCAUGGUAGCAUACACCUAUAAUCCUAGCAACUAGGGAAACUGAGGCAAGAGGAUUCCAAGUUCAAGAUCAGCCUCAGCAACUUAGCAAAACCCUGUCUCAAAAUAAAAUAUAAAAGGGGGUGGGGAUAAAGUGUCCCUGGGUUCAAAAAACAAAGUAAACAUUUGUCAUAGUUUGUUUUGACUUUUUAGACCCAUGCUUUUCUUGAUUUAAGAGUAUUUUUGAAAUAAGAAAGUUGUAUUAGAUGAGCCUUCCAUUUUUUAUAGUUUAUAAUUAUUUAUUAGAUUAUCUUGGAAUUCCUAUAGCACUGUCUAUAAGGAUAAUUGUUGAUACUUAUUUAGCAAUGUCUGUUAGGGUAAAUGUGGAAUAUUGUUUACUUUUAAAUAAUUUGGAUGGAAAGAUUAGUAGGAUAAUAAGGGAAACUCAGAAGUCUUCAGUAAUUUAUUUUUUUAGGACAAUGCUCUAGUAUCUUAGUGAAUAGACAUAAUAAACAUUUUAAUAUCUUUUGGCAGUGUGUUGAAAAUUGAAGCUAAUGUUGCUCCUUUUUAAAUAUUAUCCAUCAGAAACGAGCUAUUCAGAGCUGGUUAAUUCUAUAAAUAUUGACUCAGGAAAGGUAUAAUGAUUAAUAAAAUUAAGUGUUUUUAGCACACCUUAAAAGAAGCCUCCAUCACUAAAAUGUCAAUGAUUAAACAUUCUGAACAGCAACUUAACUUUUUAAAUGGAUGGCCCAUUAUGGGUUGGAAGCUCAAUAAUGGGCCAUUUAUUUACUCAUAUAAAUGCCAAUUCUCUUUAAAAAAUGAAAAUAAAGUAGAUGACCCAGUUAAUACAUUUAAAGCUAAUGAUUUAUACAGAAAUUAAAUAUGUCAUGAAAGGUUAUGAGAAGUUGAGUGCUCAGACCAGUGAAGAAAUUUAGAUAGACUAGAUAGAUGGACAGAUUCCUAUACCUGAGUCAUUUCAUUUGGAAUUUAAUUUUCUAAAAAAUAGUUUUGAAAAAGAAUUCUCAGUCUAACCCUGUGAAGUAAAAUCCAUUGUUACAAAGAUCAGCUAUUAUAAUGACCAAUUUUUAAAUUUAAAUUUUUAAUAAAAAUUAUGUUUUGUUUUAGGAUGGUAUCGGCAGUGCAAUAUUAUUCCUUAUAGCAAAGAUGUUGACCUAGGGAUUUUUAUACAAGAUUACAAAUCUGAUAUUAUUAUAGCAUUUCAGGAUGCAGGACUUCCACUCAAACACAAGUUUGGGAAGGUCAGUAACAAAACUUGUCUUUAUUUUAUAAGUGACAUAUCUCAAUGAUAGAGUUGAUAGUAUGUAACUCAGACAUAAUUUUUUUUUUGUUUUAAUAUCAAUAGUUUAUUUUGGCAAGUGUUGCUGGUAUAGAUGUAGCAAAUUUUUUUAAAAAAUAAGUGAGUUGAGUAAAAUAUUUUAAAUAUAAUUGGGGGUCCAGUUCUGAGUAGAUCACUACAUUUGCCUAAGAAAACUGCUCAAUAUGAAAAAAAAUGGAACACUGCACAAUUUGUGUGUCAUCAUUGCACAGGGACAUGCUAAUCUUCUUUGCAUUGUUCCAAUUUUAGUAUACGUGUUGCUGGAGCUAGCAGUGCUUAUAUAAUUUUGUCACUCCGUAUCAAUGGAUUCAAUGGAUGUUUGUUACCACUUGUGAUUUCUGCACGAUUUAAUGAAAAGCUUGGAAAAUCUGGCUUUUAAUCUAUCAGAGAGGAAAGAAGGAUCUUGGACUCUUGUAAAUGAAUUUAUUGUUACUUUAUUAGGCAAUAAUAAAAACUUAAUGUAAAAAGUAAUCCCAUCCACUUUAUCUGAAGUUAUAUUGUUUCUCAUUAGUCAUUUAAUUUUAUGUUUAUCUCUGAAUUAAUGUCAUUAUAAUUAUCAACACAAAACAUUUCACUGAUUGCUAGGGGGUAGAAAUUUAGAAUCAUUUUAAAGAAGUACUUCAAUUUCUUGUUUAUCUCACAUGUCUUAAGUUAUAGCAGUUUCCUCAGAGGUCUAUUUCUCAGGGAUAGGAUAUUAUGGUGAAGAUAAAAUGUUACUCCAGACAAUUUGAUUUCUAUGCUCCUAAGCCCAUGACCCUUUGUGAUCAUCUUGCUCUUAAUUUGCCUGUCCCAGGGGAAGUAUUAUCCUGUAAAGCAAGUAGAAAUAUAUUUAGUCUCUGGAAAAUUAUUUCUUUCAUCAAAAAUAAUCAUCCUAUUUUUCUAAAAAGGUUUAAUCAAAUAUUUUCCUGAGGUCUAAGUCAAAGCAAUAGAGCUUUUGUCAUUUAACAUUUACUGAACAUUCACCAUGUCUGGUACUGUUCUCUGCACCUGGAACACGAAGAUGAAUAAAUUACAGUUCUUAUCUUUGAGAAGCUCACUGAUUUGGAGGGUGGAGGGGACACAAAUUUUUAUGUCACUACUAAUGAAAUAGACAGCUAUACCAAAUCUGAUGGACACAUAAUUAUUUAUAGGAUAAGUACUUUAAGGAAAUCCUCUCAAUUUUUUUUCUGUACCUUAAUUUUUUAUUUAUUCUUUUAUCAUGUAUAUAAUGUAAUGAUCUGUGCUAGUAUGUGGUUAUAUGAAAUGCUGCUUUACUUACUUAUCGAUUGAUUAUGAUGAGAGACUUAUUUCCUGAUUGUUUUUCUUGGUUAUUAAGGAAGUAAUUUUUCUUUGGAUCCUUUCCUUCUUUAGUCAGAAAGGGACUCUGGAGCAGAAUGUUUCCAUUUUCUCUGCAGUGAUAAUUUUAACUACCAUAAGUCAUUUACUCUGAGUUGUCAUCUGUUGUAAGAAACAUUAUUUUUAUGUGCAUUUAAGAAAUUAAACAUUACUACUGAUACAUCCUAAUUUCAGAGGUGCUACAACUUGAAAAAAACAUGUAUCUUAAAAUUAAUGCUCUGUAUAUAUAAAAGAUAAGAAUCCUUUUAUUUUUCUAAAUUUUUUUUUAAAUGUAUUGCCAUUAUUUCAAUCUAUGAAAGUUUUCAUCUUCACCCUAGGUGGAAGACAGCUUGGAACUAUCCUUCCAGGGAAAAGAUGAUGUAAAACUUGACAUUUUUUUCUUCUAUGAAGAGACUGACCAUAUGUGGAAUGGAGGCACUCAGGCCAAAUCAGGAAAAAAAUUUAAGUACGAAUCAGAUAAGUAUUUAUUAAAAGUGGCUAUAGAAGUAAUUUCAGAAAGAAAAAAAUAGGGGAGGGCUAGGGCUAUAGCUCAGUGGUAGAGUGCCAGCCUCGCGUAUAUGAGGCACUGGGUUUGAUCCUCAGCACCACAUAAAAAUAAAUAAGUAUAUAGUGUCCACCUACAACUAAAAAAAAAAAUAGUUUUGAGGCUGAGAUUGUGGCUCAGCGGUAGAGCGCUCACUUAGCAUGGGCAGGACCCGGGUUCGAUCCUCAGCACCACACGAAAAUAAAGGCAUUGUGUUGUGUCCAUCUACACUUAAAAAAAUAAAUAUUUAAAAAGAAUAAUUUUUAAAAAACAGGGGAAUAACUGAAAGAAAAAGAACCCACAUUUGUCAAGACUCCAUUAUUUAGUUUAUGCUUUCUUAGCUUACCCGUAGAGUCUAGUUAUACCCGUGAAGGGAGAACCUCCUAAAAGGACAGUCUGGGAGGAGGAAAUAUUCCUAGGUUUAUCAAUUGAAGGAGUCAUGAUCAAAACUCUGAAGUCAUCAAAAAGAGAAUAUCAAAGCAAGGAACACAAAAAUCAAGCUCAGAGAAUAAAGUAAAAAACACUGCCCAUCACAGUUAUAGGAGUCUGAUAAUUAUAUAGGAAUGGGUUAGGGUUGGUAAGGAGAUAGUCAUGGUGAAAUGAAGUUUAAAUGAAGUUUAAAUGAGUGCUGGGCAAGCUUUAGAAAUGUGCCUGUAAUAUAGAAAUAAAGAAUAUACUUUGGCCAUAACAGCUACCAUAGUUUAUCAAUGAAUGAUGUAACAGUAUUUUACAUGUGACUAAUAAAGGGAAAACACUGUUAUAUGACACAUGAUUCACAGAUUGGGAAGAGAGGUGUUCAGAAUUGAUGAAAUUUAGUAUGUUAGAUUGGUAUCAUUAAUACUUAAAUUUUUUAAAAUGCUGACCUACUCAGACUCUUAUAUUGGAUAAGACAAAAAUGACAUUAGAGUACCUGCUCUCUUCUGUAAUGCACACCAUCCACGGAGUGGGGUAGAAUGGAAAGAGAGAGUGAGCAAGAGCACACCAGCCCAAAGAGCAUAGGCUUGGGUCAGGCAACCCUGAGAAAUUUCAUCUCCACCCUAACUUUGACAAUUCAACUUCUCUGAACAUGAAGUGCCUCAUCUAUUAAAUUUAGGUAAGAACUACUGUAUCAGCACUGUUCUGAACACUGCUAUAGCACUGUUUCAGGCACAACCCAACCUGAGGAUCUGUGAGGCUCUGAGAACUUGAGUGUUAUUUGUUCAAGUAAAUGAAGCAGUCAGACAGCAGUCUGUAUCUAGAGUUCAGACUUUUAACCACUAUUCACAAUAUCCCGUACAUAACUUAGUGCUUAGUACUUAGUAAGUUAGCAGCAUUUAGGGACUUAUUGAUAUUGUUAUCUAGUAUUAUUAAUUUUAUGAUUACAAUGUGAUCACUAUCAUUAGUGCCAUUAUCAUGGUAGUCACGUGACCCAGUGGCAUAAAUUUACCUCACCAACUACCUGAGAUUGGGGCUUCUAUUAGUUAAUAUAUUUGAGCCAUUGAACAUAAAGGAGAAUUCUAUAAAUAGGAAGGAUUUCCAGACUCAUCCUGAUUUCUUCUAAGUACAUUGACCCACCCUCCUGGGAUCCCUGAAUUUUUAUCUGAAGGCAAGGAGUCUUUAUGUAAGAUUGAACUUGUUCUGAAAGUUUGAGAGUAGUUCAAACCUUUUUUCAGAGUCAUAAAGCAUCCCCAAACUGAUGCUGAUCCUAGAGCACAUUCUUGAAGCUUUUAUUAUAGUUUUUCUUUUCUUUCUAAAUGACAACAAACUCCUUUUUGCUGGGUAAACUCUGAUUCAAAGAAUUAGAAAUUAGUAAAUUAAUGAAUCAGAAAUUAGUAAAUUAAUAAAACAGAAAUUAGUAAAUUAAUAAGUAUAUAUUUGACUGUCAUUGCGGCUAAAUGAACAUGAGGGUUAAAUGUUUUAGACAUUCAACUAUAGUUUGCUUAAAAUAUGAAAGAGAUGCCAAUUUUAAUAUAUAAUUAGGGGGUUUUUGAAAAAUUUGUUUUAAAGUAUAACAAUAAAAAAUAGUGCAUGGAGCCAGUGUGCUUGCUUUAGAAUCCCAGCACUACAUUUAACCAACUACAUUACUUUGGGCAAGUUUUUUCAUCUUUUUCCAGAGUUUUCCCAACUGUAAAAUGGAAAUAAUAUGAUAAAUUGCCACAUAAAGUGAUUUUAAGGAUUAAAACAGGUAAUUUUUAAAAAAGAAAGCUAUGAAGAAUGACAAGAUGCGUGGAGUAACCAGGCUUUGUGGCACACAUUUGUAAUUCCAGUAGCCAAAAGGCUGAGGCAGGAGGAUGGCAAGUUCAAGGCCAACCUCAGUAAUUUAGUAAGGCCAUAAACAACUUUGUGAGAUCCUGUCUCAAAAUAAAAAAUAAGAAGGGCUGGGGGUGUGACUCAGCCCUCUAGGGUUCAAUAACCAGUAUCAAAGAAAAAAAAAUGUCAUGAAUGCUAAGUAAUUGUUACCUGUAUUAUUAUUAGUAGUACUAGUGGUAGUAAACUAUUCCUCCUCUUAGUCUUAUGAGAAAUGUACAGAUUAGAGAUCUGUGUAAUUAUCUCAGUAUGAAAGUGCCACAUCUGUUCUUAAAGAACUCAUACAAGAGUGCCACCCUUUUUUUAAAGAAAGAUAAUUUCUAGAGCUAGUAUUAGAGUCCUUUUGUUCUUAAAUUUCCUUCUAAGGGGUGAAUUUUUCUUCUUACUGACAUGAUAUGAAACUCACAAACCUCAAAAGAACUGUUCAUUUCCAACCACUACAUUUCUGGAUAGAAAAAGCUUCUUUCAUUCUGCUUCAACUGCUCUUUAUAGUAGCAGUGUUUGGGAAGUGUGAAGUGUUCUGACUAUUUAACAAGAGAAAUGAGCAGUGAUAGAACUGUCUGGACAGAUGGUGUGAGUCCCAGAUUUUCUAUCACGUUACUGUGACCUUAAAAGACAGAGAAAAGAACAGGAGAUGGCUGUGUGAAAUAGUUUCUUUGGAAGAUUCCCCUAGCCAUAUGCCAUUUUCAUUCUUUUCGGCACUGUUUACUUUAAGGAAAUCUAUUUUUAACACUACCAUUCCUAGGGGGGAAGAACCCAAACCUUUAAAACUAAUGUAAGGGUCUUUUUAUCUUUUAUAAUACUCUAUUUUUUAUUCAUGUGUAGUUCAUGCUGAGAAACAUAAUAGAAAGUGUGCCAUUUUUUAAGAGACUGAAAGGAACUCUGGAGAGAAAGAUUCUCUUCUUUCUAAACUUUACUCUGCUUGCCUACAGAAAAAUGUCUUGGUCAUAAGAUUGAAUAAUAAUUUGAAUAUUAACAGCAAAAAUAAAGAUACAGCUAGCAGGGUAUCUGUUAGAUAUAAGGCACUAUGAUAGGUACUUUAUGUAUUUAAUUUUAGAUAAUCCUUAUAUUGUCACAGUGGGCUAGGUAUUUUCACCAGUUGUUAGACAUGAGGAAACUACAGCUCAGAGAAGUAAAGUAAUUUUAUUCAAGAUCAUUGGCCAUGAAUGUCAGAGCCAAAAUUUAACCUCAGACGUGUUCAACUUGAGCCUAAAUGUUUUCUGCUAAGAGUUAAAAGGGUAAGUGAGUUAAUGUAACUCAUUUAGAACAGUGCCUGCCACAUUAUAAGUACCAUGUCAGAAUUAGCUACUGCCACUACUAUCAUUACUAUGUGGCUAUUACUACUGCUAUGCUGUAUAGGCACAAAGCAUAGCACUUAAACACAGCACUGACUUAGUUUUCUAUUCUCUGGGCAAGCAUUUUCUUACAGGUAUCAUAACACUCAUUCUGUUCACUCUUUUUAACUCCUGAACAUAAAGUCAUCUUUUAUCAAAUAUUCAAAUUCCAAAUUUUGUUUUUAACUAUUGUCUUCAUUUUUUUAAAAAAAAUAUUUUUUAGUUAUACAUGAGCACAAUAUCUUUAUUAUUUUGUUUAUUUGUUUUUAUAUGGUAUUGAGGAUCGAACCCAGUGUCUUACAUAUGUGAGGCAAGCGCUGUCACUGAGCCACAACCCCAGCCCUUCAUUUUUUGUAUCUAUUUGUCUUCUUGAGAAUUUAGAUCACUAGUAAUAAAAAAUGGUGAAUAUAAAACUGUGCCUCCAGAAUGUGAAGUUUCUAUUCCAUAACUUUACAGUUACAGUUCCUGGUUAGGUUUCUUUGGGUUAUUUCUUACCUAUCCAUCUAAAUCAGCUGGUGUGAAUUUUAGAGGUAAUCAUAAUAGUUAACUUUUAUUUUAUUUUAUUUUUGGUAGUGCUGGGGAUCAAACAGGGCCUUGAGCACAUGCUGGGCAAAUGCUUUACCACUGAGCGCUAUCCCCAACCCAAUAGUUAACUUUUAUUGAAUUCUUACUAUAUGCUAGACACUACCACACUUUUAUGUGCAUCAUCUUGUUUAACCCUUAAAAUAGACUUAUAAGGGAGAGUUUAAUAUUGUUUUCUUUAAUUAAUGAAUGAGGAAUCUAGUUAGAGCUAAGACUCAGACCUAGGUCAAUAUCACUGUAGAGCCCAUGUCCUUACUAUAAGCCCAUGUCCUUAAUACUAAUCUUUUUAGUAUUAUGAAUAAUUCUUCCAUGAAAACAUAGUUGCAGUAAUACAGCUACUGCUGCAUCCUCAAAUAGGAAAUUUUCCAUCCCUAGGCUGUGAGUGGUUCCUUAUAUCUUCUUUUUUUUUUUCCUUAUAUCUUCUUAUAUUUUUAUAUUUUCAGUUUCUGCUUAUUGGAUAGAUCUUCAGAAAAUUUGGAUUCAUACUUGGAGAACUACAUUCAUAUCCGAGUGUGACUCCUUUGUAAUUUAUUACUUCAUUUCUAUAAAAUUUAUUUCUAUCUAGUCUAUUUUCAGGAUACUAAUGUGAAUAUAACUUAGUUUCUGCUCUCAAGGAUCUCGUAAUCUAGACCAUAAAACAAUAUAACAUUAAAGUACUUUAUGUCAGCAGUAGAGUAAUUGAACUAUGUGCAAUCUAUAGUUGAGGUGCCAGAUCAACCCUAUCUAGAAACAACUGCAAGGAAGUGUAAUUUCAAAACAGGUUGGUUAGGCAGACUUAAGAGGAGUAUGGAGAAAGUCCUAAUAAUAGGUUUAGUUAACUAUUUUUUUCUAUUCUGAUUGUUCCUUUUUUUAAAUUUAAGAAAGUCUGAUAGUAUAUCUUUGCAUAAAAUAAAAGCUUUUUUAGGGAUUUUUACAUACACACAGGAAUGUUAUUGAACCAUUUAAAAAAAAAAAAGAAUGAAAUCCUAUAAUUUGUAGCAAAAAUAGAUGUAACUAGAGGACAUUGUUAAGUAAGCCAGACCAAAAAAGAUAAGUACCGCAUGUUCUCUCUUACGUGGAAGUUUUAAAAAGUUGACUUGAGUGUAGAAUACUGAUAAUUAUCAUUUGGAAAGAGGUGAGGGAUAAAGAGAGACUACAUUUGAUCAGUGCUCAUCAUAUAUAUGUGUUGAACUAUCAUUCCAUUAAUAUGUACAAUUAAUACAUUAAUAAAAAUAAAUAAAAGGAAAUAAGGUCAAAUUGUCUUUAUUUGGCCAUAUCAUCAUACAUAGAAAUUUUAUAGCUUUGCCAUUGAGGUCAUCAGCGAUUAUAUAUCACAUUUAUUAUUUACCCCAAGCUAAACUCCAUGCUCAGUAAAUAUGUUAAAUGAAUUAAUGAAUGAAUGGAUGUGUGGAUUAAUUGAUAUUUACUGAUUCUGAAAAAAAGUGAGCCUUUUAGAGCUUUGAUUCAUUGCCAGAUUGCCUUUCUAAAAAAUGAUACAAAUUUUUGUGUAAUCAGCAUGAAUGAAUGAGAGUGCAAACUUUACUACAUGUUACUGAGUUUUGCAAUUUAAUUAUAGUCCUUCAUGACUCCCCUGAUAGUUCCUUUAAGUAACUUUUUUUCACUUUUUCUCAUUAAUCUAAUAUAUCUUUGAAGCAUCAUAAAAAUGGAUCAGCCAUCCAUGGCAAGUUACUAACAGUUAUUACCUUUCUGUUAACUUUUCCAAACAUCUAUUGGCUUUUAGUGGUGCAAAGCACAUCUUUUUCCCAACCUUUCAGUUGCAUUUUCAAAAUUUAUCUAUAAAAUAUUACAAUAUAUCUGAAUAUUUCAUUUUGAUUAUUUGUUAGGCACUUUUUAUUUAGAGACUUCUAUAUCUAAAAUAUACAUGUGUGAUUUUAGUUGAGUGAGCUUCAGGUUUCUCCAUAACAUGAAGAUAACACUGCAUACCUCAUGGCAUGUAAUGCUUAUAUUGAAUAAUAUUGUGAAAUUACCUGAUUCAGUGCUUGACACAUAAUAGAUUCUCAGUUGUCCACUGAUUCUGAGUUAAGCAGGCAGAACCUCGAAGUCCAGUUAGGGAGGUUCAUUGCCAUGUAAUAAUUAGAAAAAAAUAUCACAAAUAGUGAAUUAAAGCCUACCAGAUGUAACAAAGAUGAAUACAAACUUAUACUACAUAAUUGCAGAGAGACAGUUUGUAAGAAUAAAACAAGUACAGAGAAUGCUGAGGUAAGGGUAGAGGCAGCACAAUUUGAAUAUUGCUAUUAAAUUAGAUUGAGUUGGCUCUAAGGAAGGAGAUUUAAUCUGAGUGUAGAAAGAUGAUAUUGAGCAAUAUUGGUGAAGCAGUUAAUUGACAGAAAGACUUAAUAUUUGACUGCAGAGUCUUUUAUUUAAUGUAAUAAACAAUAGAAUCUCUUAGGGCUUUAGGUGGGGAAUGUAAUAAGAUACAAGCCCUGUUGAGGAAUACUGUUAUAGCUAAUAUGUGUAGGCAUGAAGAAGUGAAAGAGACUGUUAGUACAGAAACCUACAGAAAAAGCUGGUAUAGUAAGCUAGACUUAGGUGUAUGAGAACCUAUGCUAAACAGGAGGUAAUUGGGAAAAGUAGUAAAAUGAAACUAAACAAACAAACAAACCCUCCAUGCCUGGCUAUGAACAAGGGAGUCCUCAAUCUGAAUGGGAAUUCAAGAACUCUUAAGGAUUCAAAGUAAAACAUAAGUUUAUAGUCUAGAGAAGAUUAGGAAAUAGAAAAUAAUCAUUAAUAUUUUAAUUGAAGUGUAACACAUACACACAAAGGUACACAUACAGAAAGUGUUUAGCUCCAAAAAUCAUCCAGUAAACAAUCAUGUAGAUAGAAUCUCAGUCAAAAAAUAGAUAUUUGGAGCCUGGUGAGGUGGCGCAGGCCUGUAAUCCCAGCAGUUCAGGAGGCUGAGACAGAAGGAUUGCGAGUUCAAAGCCAGCCUCAGCAAAGUUAAGGUGCUAAGCAAGUAAGACCUUGUCUCUAAAUAAAAUACAAAAUAGGGGCUGGGGAUAUGGCUCAGUGGUCAAGUGCCCCUGAGUUCAAUACCCUGUACCCACCUCCCUGCAAAAAAAAAAUGAUAUUUGGACCUGGUGUGGUGGUGCACUCCUAUAAUCCCAGGAGGAUCACAAGUUUGUGAUUCUAGACAACUUAGCAAGAUCACAUCUCAAAAUACAAAAGGCUGAUGUUGUGGUUUAAAAAUAGAGUGUUUGCCUAACAUGUACAAGGCCAUGGGUUCAAUCCGUGGUAUGACAAAAAAACAAUAUUUACCAGCAUCCCAGAGGCCUAUAUAUUUGCCCUCACAAUCAACUCCUUUUUCCCACAAAGAUACAACUGUCCUGUCUUCUAAUAUUAGUUUAGUUAUACCUGGUUUUUCAUUUUGCAGAAAUAGAAUCGUGUUCCUCAUCUUUUUUUUUUUUUUUUUUUUGUGUGUGUGUGUGUGUGUGUGGUGCUGGGGAUUGAACCCAGAGCCUUGUGCGUGCCAGGCAAGCACCCUACCAACUGAGCUAUAUCCCCAGCCCCUGAUAUCUUUUCACUGAACAUUAUGUUUGUGAGACUCAUUCAUGUUGUUGCUAUUGUUCAUUUUCUUUGCUGUAUGUGUUUGUACUACAAGUAUUUAUUAAGUCCACUGUAGUUGGCUACUGGGGUUGUUUUCAGCUUGGGGCUAUUUUAGAUGAUGCUGUAGUAAACAUUCUACACAGUACCCUUGUUCAUGUUUAUCUUAAUCCAUUAAAAUACAAUAAACUGGGUGGCUUUUAACAAGAAAUUUAUUUCCCACAGUUCUGGAGGCUUGAUGUACAAGAUCAAGUGCCAGCAUGAUUGGGCUCUGGUGAGAUCUUUUGGUGCUUGCAGACUGUCAGCUUCUCCCUCUGUCGUUAUAUGGUGGGAGGAGCAAGCAGAAUUCCUCAGGCCUCUUUUAUAAGGAUACUAAUCCCAUUCAUGACCCACUCACCUCCUAAAGUCCCCACCUCUUAGUACCAUUGCCUUGGAGGGUUAUGAUUUCAAUGUGAGAAUUUUGAGGGGACAGAAACAUUCAGACCAUAGAAGUAGUGUGGGAUAUAGCAAUACAGAAAGUGUGGGAUAGCUUCCUCAUAGGAAAUACAAAUAUUCAUUCUUUUGUUUACAAAUAGUUUUCAAAUGUUGGUUGUACAAAUUUACACUUCAUAGGACUUUCAUUGAUUCACUUUCUUGCCAACACUUGGCAUUGUGAGACUUUUUAAUUUUAUUCAUUUUGGAGGAUGUGUAGUGUUACCAUGUUGUAGUUUUAAUUUCCAUUUCCUGAAUGAGUUGGUGAGGGCCACCACUCUUUCAUUUUUAUAGAUCAUUUAUUUGCUCUUUUUUGUGAGGUACCUAUUAAAUGUUUUAUCAGUAUUUUAUUUGAGUUGUCAGUCUUUUUCUUACUGUUUGUGGCUUAAAUUAUACUGAAAAUAGCUUCUCAAUUUGUUCUUUUUUUCUUUUCACUUUCUUAGUGGUAACUUUUGUUCAAUGAAAGUUCUUAAUUUGGGGCUGGGGAUGUGGCUCAAGCGGUAGUGCUCUCGCCUGGCAUGCGUGCGGCCCAUGUUCGAUCCUCAUCACCACAUACAAACAAAGAUGUUGUGUCUGCCGAAAACUAAGAAAAAUAAACAUUAAAAUUCUCUCUCUCUCUUCCUCUCUCUCUGUCUCUCUCUUUUUUUAAAAAAAAAAAGUUCUUAAUUUUAAUGUAGUUCAAUGUAUUAUAGUUGAUAUUUCUUAUGUCCUUUUUAUGUGAUAUGAAGUAAAGAUCAAGUUAAGGCCAGGCGCCAUGGCACAUGGAUAUAGUUCCAGUACAUUGGGAAGCUGAAGUAGGAUUGCAAGUUCAAAGCCAGCCUCACCAAUUUAAUGAGACCCUGUUUCAAAAUUUAAAAAAAAUUAAAAUGGCUAGGGAUGUGGCUCAGUGGUAAAGCACCCUUGGGUUCUAUCCCAGCCCUAAAAAAAAAAAAAAAAAAAAAAGAUCAAUCUCGACUUGCUUUUGUUCACCUGUUUUCUGCUAUCCUUUUUUCUACUAUCCUUUUUCUGCUCCAUUCCAGGGUACCACAUUGCAUUUAGACACCCUGCCUUUUGAAACUUGAUUUUAGUCAAAGAUUUUAAAUAAGUCACUAGUAAUACCAGAUUAUCUUCCAUUAUUGUAGUUCCUAAGUCUGCCCAGUCAAAGGCAUUGGAUUUGCCUCCUCCUUUAAAUUAUUCCUUGGUAUCUCUAUCUGGAUAUAAUCUCUUGCUCUGAAUUUUUAUAAAUUUUUUCCCUUUACUUCCCUCAUGCUUUAUUAAAGUACUUUUGCUGAUUUGUCAGUCCUUUCUAAGUGAUAAAUAAAAUCAGUCUUGGUACAUUGGUACAUCAUCUAUAGAGCUGAGUGAGAUCUGAACCCUACUUGAAACUAAAUCAAAGCCUCUUAAGUUUAUUCCACAUUGUUUUGUGAAGAUGAUAGGAUGAUAUCAGAUUAAUGACUUGAUCCAACCAGCACCUUUGGAGAAUUAAAACCAUAAAAUUAAGUUGUUAGUUAUUUGCAAUCACUGUGCUUCCCUAGAAGUUAAAGACUAGAGUUAGAUAUAGAGUCCUCCCUCAUUGUCUCUCAGCCUUAUAGAUUGAUACUAUUCUACUGUAGUUAUAGCUCUCAAAAAACAUUUGUCUCUUUAGUACAUACAGCUGUGAAGCUAAAAAGCAAAUUUGAAUAAUUUCUUUAAAUGAGUGUAUUUAAAACAUUGACUUUUCUAAAAUGAUCUCGUACUUCCUGCUCUAUUUAUGUCUUCAUAUUUUAUAACAUAGAUUAUGUCUUAGGUCUCCUUAAUUACACCUCCAAACUGCUAGUGAGUAGCAGGUGUAAAAUUGAGGGGUUGAGGGAAGAACUGUGAAUAAAUGUUACAUGGUAAAUUGUAUACUUAUACAUUAUAAGAGCUGGUAGCUACUUAUAUAGUGAGCUUGGGGUUUUGUUUUGUUUUAAGAGAAGAUGCCUUCGGAAUGAAUAAACAGCAAAUCUUUCAUUUGUGUAAAGUAAAAAUUAUAUAUUUUUGAAAUAUAUAUAUAUAUUUGAAUAUAAUUCUGUAAGGGGUUAAGUUAGGUAGUAUCCUAAGAGAAAACAAAACAAAAACAUGUUUCUACUAAAAGACUUAGACACAAAUGUUCCUAGCAAUUUUAUUCAUACUAGCUAAAAAAGUAAAAUCAUCCUAAAUCAAUGCACACAGUCUGGUGACCAGUUAUACAAAUUAUGAUAUAUUCAGAUGAUAGAAUACUAUGGAUGGAUGCAUCUUCAAAAUAUUAUGCUAAGUAAAAGAAGUAAGGAACAAUACAUACUGUGUAUUUACUUGUAUUUUAUUUUGCUGUAGCACAAGCAAAACCAGUGAUGAGUGUAAUAAUAUUGGGGGUUGCCUAGGGACCGGGUGGGUUGACUACUGAAUGGCAAGGAACACAGGAAACUCUGGAUGGUAGAAGUGUUCUCUAUCCUGAUUAAAAUGGUGGCUAUAUAGGUUAUACAUUUGUCAAUAUUUAUCACUUAAAAUUAGUACAUUUCAUUCUAUGUAAAUUAUACCUCAAAAAAUUGAUUUAGGAGGCUGGGGUUGUAGCUCAGCAGUAGAAUGCUCGCCAGCACGUGCAAGGCCCUGGGUUCGAUUCUCAGCACCACAUAAAAUAAAUAAAUUAAAUAAAGGUAUUGUGUCCAAUUACAACUAAAAAAUAUUUUUUUAAAAUUGACUUAGGUUAAAAAUAUUAAAAAAUAUUUUGUGACUUUGAUAUUAAGAGAAAAGAAUCCAAGAUUUCUAUAUUAAAAUGCAGAGAUACAUGGGAACAGAAACAAUGAAUUUGGCAAGGGCAGACCUAAUUGUAAUGAUAAAUUUCAAGACUUUUGCAUUUGAUUAGAUAAAUUGGGUUAUCUGACAUCAAAAUAAAAGAGGCCUUCUGUAUUUAGCAUGAAAUUUGAAGUCAUAAUUUUAAUUUCUAUUUUUGAGUAUUUAAGUUAUUUCUCUGAAGAGAAAUGCUAGUAAAAUUGUGGAAAACAAAUACAGCUAAUGUCUGAUUUUCAUUGAUGAGCUGUAGAUCUAGUUUUUGGAAAUUAUUCAGCAGACAUAAAAACGUCCUGAGUCUUUGUCCUCUAGCACUGAAGACAAAUUUUAUGUAUCUUUUAAAGUGGUUGUUUUUGAUGUGGUUGUUAUGUACGUGCAUUCAGGUAAAAAUAGGUAAUUAAAUGAUACCUAUUUUAUAGGCUUUAAUUGGCCUAUAUAUUUUUAAAGUAUUUUUUUAGUUGUAGAUGGACACAAUACCUUUAUUUAUUAUGUGGUGCUGAGGAUCAAACCCAGUGCCUCACAUGUGCAAGGCACGUGCUCUACCAGCGUCAUGGUCUGCUUAUUGAUAUACAUUUUUUUUCUUGUUUCUCCUGUAGCACAGUUGACUACUAGUUUGGUCCCUGAGGCAGAGGUCCUAUAGGGAUCACAUAGCAGAGUUUGCUGUGUAUAUUCCUUACUGGACAGUAAGGGUAGGUAGGAUCACUCAAUUUACAGUGGAAGUCAGUGGCAAAAUGAAGUUCAUAGGUAGAAAUUUACCAUAUAAAACACGUACAUUCUCUCUUCUAUCUGAGUAUGUAAAUACACAGAUAAAUAUGUAACAUAGUAGUUUAGGACAGGCCUGAAGAAUGAAAUUAGUAAAGAUCUUAGAGAUACUGUAUUUCAGCCUAGACUCUGAAAAGUAUAUUAGUAAUUCCUGUAUAACUCUUUUUACUCUUUAUUUUCCAUGGUGGGAUUGUGAAGUAUUUAGUAUAAAAAAUGAUUUAAAAAAAAAUAUGAGGCAGCAAAGUUACUAUAACUUUGGUUUUCAAGAAUUGAGUUUAAUUUUUACCUGACUGUUUAAGAGCAAGAUUGGUAUGAUGACAUAUAAUUAAUGUGACAGUAAUUCCUCACUUUGUCAUAAUCUGUUUGCUACAGACACAAAGUACUGUGAAUAUGUCUUAAAGAUAAUACAGCUGAGCUAAAAGAAUAAGUAAUGAUGAAGCAGUAUUUAUAUAAUUUUCAAAUUAUAAGCAGAAUAAAUAAUAAAUCUGAAAUUCAUCUUAAGGAAACCAAUACCAAAAAAUAUUUAUACAUGCUAUGUGAAAAAAUAGAUUGCUCACAAAGAAGCACCAAGUAUACCUUAGCAACAGUUGAGCCUAAAAGAUAACAGAGUGACAUCUUCCAAAAGCCAAGGAGAAAUAACUGCCAACUUAGAAUGUUAUGUUUAGUUAAAACUAACAUCAGGUAUGAGAUAAAAAUAAAGACAUUUACAUAUAUACAAAGACUUAAGAAAGUUUAUGCCUCAUAAACCCAUUCUUAGAGACAUAUUAACAACUUGGAGGGAAAAUGUGAUACAUAUAAAAUAGUGGUGAGCCAAAAAAAAUGAGAAAAUGUCAUUAAAUUUGUUAGCCAUUGCAUAUAAAAAUAAUGAUGUUGACAACUAACUUAUUAUAUUAAAAUGAGAAAGGUCAAAAAAGAAGACUCCUGACAGUUGAGGAGAAGGUGAUAUGUCUUUGUUCAAGGAGUAAAGUAUACUAAGUUACAUGUUUAAGAAGAGGAUAGAUAUUGCACAUAAAUUUGGUCUUUAAUAGAAAAUGUUAUAGUGAAGUAAGUAUGUUCAGUAGCUAGAAUAUAAUUAUCUAAAAUGUCCAAAUAAGCAGAGAACAGAAGGGAAUAUAUUAAUCCAAAUGAAGAUAGGAAAAGUAGAGGAGGAUGUCAAAGGAAAAGUAUGGUAAACUGAAAACAUGUAAAAAUAAUUAUAACAACAAUCAACAUUGUUUUAGAUACCAAUAUGAACACUUUACAUUUAUUUAUUCUUUCUACACUAAUAUCCCUCUGAAGUGUAGGUACUGUUAUUAUCCUCAUUUUAUAAAUGAGAAAAUUAAGGUACAAGGAAAUUGGCCAAUGUCACACAAUUAAUUACUGAUCAAGCCAGAAUUUGAGCCUGGGUAUUCUGGCACAAGACUAGUUCAAAAUAAGUACACUAUAUAAUUUAAUACAGUAAAUGUAAGCAAAUUAAGCUAACCUAUAAAACUUCAAAGAUUAUUCAAAUGGGAAAACAAAAUUUAGCUGUAUAAUACUUUCAAGAGGCAUACCCAAUGCAAAAUCACACAGGAAGUUUGCAAAUUACAGGGAUGGAAAAAGAGAUACCCAAUGGUAUUAACCAAAGAAAAUUAGUACUAUGAUAUGGUUAUCAGACAAGAUAGAAUUUAGGGGGAGAAAUAAAGUAUUAGAAGGUCUGUUAUAUAAUCUUUCAAAGAAACAGUUCACCAAGAUGAAAUGCUAUUCAUGAGCUUCUCUUGCCUGAUUGGCUGAAGUUUCAAGGAGUAUGUUGAAUAUGAGUGGUGAGUGGGCAUCCUUCUCUUGGUCCUGUUUUUAGAGGAAAUACUUUAAGUUUUUCUCUGUUUAGUAUGAUGAUGGCCUUGGGUUUGUCAUAUAUAGCCAAUAUAAUGUUAAAGUAAGUUCCUUCUAUCUUUAGCUUCUGUAGUGUUUUAAAGAUAAUGGGCAUUAGGCUUUGUCAAAUGUUUUUUCUGUGUCUAUUGAGAUAAUCAUGUGAUUCUUGUCCAUAACUCUAUGUGGUAAAUUAUAUUUAUUGAUUUGCAUAUGUUGAACCAACCUUGCAUGACUGGUAUGAGAACAACUUGAUCUUGGUGCAGUAUCCUUUUAAUGUGUUUUUCUGUGUGAUUUGCCAAUAUUUUAUUAAGACUUUUAUAUUUAUCAAGGAUAUUGGCCAGAAGUUUGCUUUCCUUAAUGUGUUGUUGUCUGGUGGGAAUUUUUUAAAUUGAGGGAAUCUUUUAAACAUACUCCUUAAUAAUUAAUGAAUUAAAAAGGAAAUUAUAAUAGAAGUUAUAAAAUAUUUAGGACUCAAAGAUAUGAAUGUACUGUAUACUAAAAUAUACAAGCUAUAGUUAAAGGGUUAGAGCUAAAUUUAUAGCCUUAAAACCACUUAACUGAAAAAUACACAUUAAAAAAAUCAAACUUCGAACUUGGAGAAAAUUAAAUAACAAUACAGACAGCUUGAGGAAAAUGAAGAAAAGAAAUCAAAAGAAGAAAUUAAUGAAAUAGGAAGCAACCAACAAUUCCAAAUGCUGAUUCUUAAAGAUUUAAUUUUAAAACUAGUAAAAUAAAUGGCAUCUAGCACGACUGAGAAGAAAAGAGAAAAAGUAAAGACAAUAUGCAGUGUUCAAACUCAUGAUGUCUUACUCAUUGUGUCCUUAACUAUAUUAUGUCGACUCUCAGAAAAUACCAUGGAUGACUUUAGGACAGUAAAUGCAACAGUUAGGCAAAAAUGUGAAAAAGAAUAAUUUUCUAGAAAAAUUUUAACCAAAAUAAAAUCAAGAAAAUUCACAUAGCCUAUAUUCAUUCAAGAAACUGAAAUAGUGAUCAAAAAUCCUUCUUUCCCCUUCUUUUCUCUACUAAGACAUUUAUGCCUAGAAAAUAUACAGGAAAGUCUUACCAUACCAUAUAAAAUAGGUUACCCCAAUAUUAUAUAACCUAUUUUAGAAAAUAAAAAAAGAGAUAUCUAGGCAAUUUAUUUUAUGAGACUAAUAUGAAAUAUGGACAUGGGUAAUCUAGAAAAUUUUAAGGGAAAUUAUAGUCCCAAAGAACACAGAUGAAAAUAUCCUAAGUAAAUGAAAAAUUUUUUCCAGUGUAUAUUAGUAUAAUUCUCCAUAUUAAAAUAUUAGAAGGGAACUGGGGUUGUGGCUCAGCGAUAGAGCUCCCGCCUUGCACAUGCAAGGCCCUGGGUUCGAUCCUCAGCACCACAUAAAAAUAAAUAAAUAAAUAAAUAAAUAAAUCGAGUUUUAAAAAUAAAAAAAUAAAUAAAUAAAGUAUUAUAAGAUUAAAGGGAGAAAAAACUGCAUAGCUGUUUAAUAGAUGAUACUUAAAACUAUUGAUAAGGUUUUGUAAUUAAAAAUAAAAGGCCUUUUAAACAAAAUAGAAUUUUUUUCAACUAAUAAAGAAAAUAUAACAAAAACCUAGAGUGAACAGUCAUAUUUAAAUAUAAACUUUAGAAGCCUUCCCACUAAUAUCAGAAUGUCUGCUAACCCAGUUUGUAUUAAACAGUUUGCUAGAGAAGUUAGGCACUGGAAUAACACAAGGAAAAGAAAUUAGGAGUUAGAAGAGAUAAGAUCUAUAAUGAGAAUAACCCAUCUGUGUUUUGCAGGCAAUUCCUAUGAAAUUAUGGCCUACUCUUCCAACUCAAGAGUUGAAUGCAAACUUAACAUUUAAAAAGGUCAAAUUCAAUUGUAGUCAAUGGUGUCUCUAUCUCAUUUAGGUUCGCUAACUAGUAAUAAUAAACAGUGGUCUUCUAGAAUGCUGGAAGAACUUCCUUUUCAUCUAGCAAUUAUGUUCAUGUAUUAUAAAAUUAAACCAAUUAAGUUACUUUCAUCAUCAACAAGUAGCUAUGGAUUUUAAGAGUUUCUGUUAAGAAAAAAUAUAUUCUAUACCAACUGACUCUUAGUUCUGAUUACUUUUUUUUUUUUAAGAAUAUCAAUGGUUGUGGAUGGACACAAUAUCUUUAUUCAUUUAUUUAUUUUUAUGUAGUGCUGAGGAUCGAACAAGUGCUCUACCACGGAACUAUAGCCCCAGCCCUCAAUGGUCAUUCUUUUUUUUUAGAGAGAGAGAGAAUUUUAAUAUCCAUUUUUCAGUUUUCGGCGGACACAACAUCUUUGUAUGUGGUGCUGAGGAUCGAACCCGGGCCGCACGCAUGCCAGGCAAGCACACCACCACCUGAGCCACAUCCCCAGCCCCUCUAAUUACUUUUUUAGGCAAAAAUCGAGCAAAGUAAACAUGGUAUGAAAAAAAAAUAGAUGGAAGAAUUGUGUGUGUAUGAUAGUAAGAUCCCUUAAACUUGUUUUCCGAUUUAGGGUUGCUGUAGUCUAAAUUUAAAUCACAUUUUGGAUCCUGUCCAAGGGCUUUGAAGUACAAACUCAUCAGCCAAACUUAAUCCUAGCUUUAAAGCCCAAGGUAAUGUUGCAGACCCAUGGUGUACUUUAGUCAUAGGCAUUAUUUACUGGUAACCUGACAGGGUGGGUGGCAUGUACUCUUCUGUGCCACUCACCCCCCUACCUCUCAACAAUCCUAUUUUAUGAUGAGUGUUCCCAUUUUAUGGUUUGUUUAUCUUUACUCUUCUCUUAGGAAACUAGGUGGGGUUUUUGUUUGUUUGUUUCUGAAUGGAUUGAAAAAUAAUUGGGGAAAAGAAGCCACAGAAAGUUUAGAGAUAUUUCUGUUUGGGAAUAAAAAUUCACAUUCUAGUUAAAUUGUCUUUGUGUUAUUUUUACGUUGUUUAUAUAUUUAAAUGGUUUGGGUUUUCUCACAAAUCCUUCAUUGUCCAAAACAUGGCUUUCAUAAAAUCUUUAGCAUUCUCUUCUAUCCUGUAUAUUCUAGUUCUGUUAUUUUUCUCUUCCAGCUCUUUGAUGAGAGACUAUAGAGGCUAAUACUUUGAAGAGUGUUCUGGACUAACUUACUAGACAGGCCAUGAUCUCACCUGAACUCAAUUUCAGUGUGACAACUUGAUAGGACAGGACAGGUGGCUAUUCUGCUGACCAGCAUUUGAUUGGGGAGGGUGGAAGUUAAAGAUGGGUGGAUAUGUCUGAUGACAAAAUAAGCAAUUCCUUGAAUAGGAGUAUGCAGAAUAAAAUAGGGACAAGCCGCUGGUGGGUCUAAGCUAUAUCUUGUUUCUUUCUCAGCUAUGAGAUUUGCUGUGGCUAUCUUUUCACAGAAGCCAGCUAGGACAGCCCUUUAACUGCCACAACCCAUUGGUUUUUGUAGAAGGCACUUGUUGCUAUCUUUUGAGUUUGUUCGGUCUCAUUUUUAUGUAUGGCUUUAUGUUUCUUUGGUGGUAAAACACGAUAUUCAAAGGCACAAUAUAUAAGAAAUGACCUUUUCUUGGAGAACAUCUCAGGUCCUAUUUCCACAAUGUUAUUUAAUCUAAACUCUAAUAUGUUAUUUUUAAUUAAUUUUAUGGUACUAAGGAAUUGAACCCAAGAGGCUCUUUACCACUGAACUUCUAUUUUGAGACAGGGUCUAACUGAGUUGCCCAGACUGACUGAAUUUGCAAUCCUGCCUCACCCUACUCAGUAACUGAGAUUAUAGGCAUAUAUCACCAUGUCUGGCUAAUCCUCUAAAGUUUUAAAUUUCUGUGAUAUCUUCUGUUGCCACUUCAGGUUUCAUUACUGAAAGUUCAUUCUAUGUUGUGAAGAGAAGCAGCAUUUCUCAGGAAAAAAACAACACCUAAUAUAGGGAGGUAUAUAUGUACGUGUAUACACACACACACACACACACCUUACUUCAAGCAGACCUGCUAGUUUUAGCUUUCCUAUGCAAUACAUUGGAUUUAAUCUACUUGAUCCAAACCUUUAAGAAACAUGUCCUGAUUUAAUUACUGAAACUUACCUUCUAAUUGUUGUAGUUCUACAAUAGAUAUAGUUAAAUUCACUAUAACUAACAUUCCUUAGGCUAGUUUAAAGAUAUUUUUUUAGCAUUUGAGGGAAAAGUAAGAAAGACAAACUAUAGGUAGGAUCAUGAAGAUAUGGAACCACAGGAAAAACCUGGGAAUGCAACUUGGAGUCAUGCUUAUUCUAUAUCCUUAGGAAAUUGAGGUUGUACAAGAAAAGAAAACUAUUUUUCUUUAUCUUUUGGUAACUUUGCUUUGACACCUCUUUCCCUAGAAAUUUUCCCACAGAAAUUCUAGGACUGACUUUCAUUUGUAUAACUUGGAUGCAUUCCCGUCUCUGAACUGAUUAUUAUAAAUUACUGUUAGAUUUUUCUUACCCAUCUCUGAAUCUUAGGGGAGGGGUUAGCUGUUACUCAUAUGAACUGGAAAUAAGGGAAGAAAAUUGGGGUGGUGUUAGCAUUUGAAGAGAAAGGAAUGUUGGACAAUUAAAAAUAUCAAAUGUCCACUUUCUCUGUUCCCAAAGCUGCUUAGUUGGAAAGGGCUGUCCUUCAACCAAAAAUGCACUAGUAACUGGGUUCUCCUGCUGGACCUUCCACUGUGGGAGCCUAACCCCUCCCCACAAUGCCUCUGUUCUACCACAGAUACCUGUUUCCCAAGUUUACACUGUGCUGGACUGAAUUUGUAGACAUGAAGGUCAAUGUGCCCUGUGAAACCAUCGAAUACAUUGAAGCCAACUAUGGUAAGACCUGGAAGAUUCCUAUAAAAAUAUGGGACUGGAAGAACUCUCCCCCCAAUGUGCAGUCCAAUGGAAUCUGGCCUAUUUCUGAGUGGGAUGAGGUCAUCCAGUUGUACUGAAAUAAUAAGUUGAAAUAGGAGAAGCUUUCUCCUGAAAAAAAAUGUUGGUAACUGUUUAAAAGACUACAUGUCUAUUUGUCAAACAUAAGCAGGAUCCAAAGGAAAAACAUGACAAGUUUUAAGACUGAAAGAAUCCUAACUCUUGAGCCAUCUGAUUUAAUUAUCUCAUUCAGCAUUCACUUAGUUUCUGUGUGUCAGAUAAAAUACUAGGUUACAGUGGAGAAGCAGAGACAAAUGAUCAAAUGUCUGCAUUGUUCCUGUCCCUUUGGUAAGCACCCCAGUUUUCCUUUGAUGGAAAUUUUCCACCUUUUGAAGAGCUGAAGUAGAAUAUAAUAUAUCCUAUAAUUUUUUUUUAAAUGUUAAGUAAUUCUUAGACUGGAAGAUGAGCUUAUCAGGCAAAGCUAAUGAAUGGUAUAUUCAUGAAAAAGAACAAUGUAUUCCUGUUCUUAGUGUUGAAGCUUGUGUAAUAGUGCUACCUUUAAGAAUGUGGCAUCUGAGUUAAUUUUCAAGUGAUCAGACUUUAGGUAGCAUCAAGAAAAGAUUGUUGCAGACUCAUUUGACAAGCCAUAUGAUGCAAAUUGAUUUAGAGCAUAGGGUAUUAUUCUAUAAGGGAAGGUGGGAGCUCAUUUUGAGUUUUGUCAAGUUAAUUUCAUAUAUUUACUAUUUUCAUAUUUGAAGUGAGAAGAAAGUUGAUGCUUUUGUGAUACUUAAAUUUUCAACUAUGGUGAGAAUAUUUUCAUUGACCCUUGAUGCACUUGUUGGUAUAUUAUUCAAGCAAGACCAUGCUACCAGACAUGAUUUUGAAGAGAUGUGAUUUUACAAAACUCACUUUCCUAUUUCACUCUCAAACACUGUCUUAGGUAAAAAUAUGAGCUAUUCAUUGACAUCUUCUAUUUUCUCAGUUUAUAACCCUUGCAUUUCCAAAUUAGUGUUGACCCUAAGAUAUUAAUAGAAAUACCUCUAAUUUUUCUAAAUAUACCCUUCAUUGUAUUUACUCAUCAGUCACGGCUCCUUAUCUUUAAUUUAUACACAAUAAACUAAUUUAAGUGGCAAAAAGCUGUUCUUUUUCUCUUCUAAAACUACUUCAGAUCUCCAAAAUGAAAGGUAAAUAAUGAACCUGACAACUAUUCCCCAUCCUAGACUAUACUGUUUAUAAAGCUGUGUCUCUCUCUCAUUGUUCAAUCUGUGGAGUAUCUAUGGGUCAAGAACUCAGACUUCUCUGCUUUCUCAAGUACCAUCUACUCUGGAACCCUUCAUUCCCCUGCCCAUCUCAAGGUAUACCCCUGAGUGGGCUGGGAUGACUUCCCUAUCUCUUUACUAGUAGUCACUUGAAUGAUGUAUUCUCAUUGAGUGAUAAAGGGAAAUGCAGGUACAGUGAGCCUCGGGAAAAGAAGCUAAGUCUUAUAUCUUAUCUGUGCUACUUAAAACUGUCUUGGGCUGACAUGGUAGACUUUUUUCUGUAACAAGAAUAACAAGUUCUUAAUUUGAAAAACAACAUGAAGAUUUUCUUUGAUGGAUGGUAACCAACAUUCUAUCUCUCCUAGGAUGCAUUCUCAAUGUAAAAUCAUUGGGUCUUUUCAUAAAUAAACAGGUUUUCAGGGAUCUUUAUAGAUUACCAGCAGUACCCAAAUGACAGGUCAUCGUAAUCAUCUUUCUCUUUGUUAGAAAAUCAGCCCAUAGACUAUAAACCAAGUUUUAAAUAUCCAACUCUAAUUUCAUUUUUCACACCCCAAAACAAUAUAAGAGAUAAUAAUUGUGUUCUUGGGUAAAAUCCACUCCACUUAGAGUGCUGUUUCCUUGUGCUUGGCAUCUGGAACUCCAUAUUCUUCACAUUCCUGCCUAAAUUGGGGUUUCCAAAUGUUUGCCAGGAAAUCCUUCCCAACAAGUUCAUGUUGUUUCUCUUGUAUCUGUCUCAGGAGUAUGAGAUCUGGAAAUGUGAAAAAAAAAAAAAAAGAUAUCUUAGUCCAGUUGGUAAAUAUUCCAUAUUCUUCCUUACAUAGAUCAAGGCUGCUGAGAUACCUUGUCUUCCUUCUGGUUUUACAGGCAGCUUUAGCUCUUGGGCUCCAUUCUAAUUUGGAGAAAUGAAAGCCUUUCCCCAGAAUAUGAAGAGACCUGAACUUACUUCUGAUACUGAUUCAGCCUUACUUCAGCCUGUGCUUCUUAACAUUUGAACUUGGCUGAGUGUUCGGAGACCCUGAGUUAAGUGUAUCCCCCAUCAAUAUCUCAUCAGAUCACUUUUCUUUCCUUACUUAAGUAUUCCAGCAGUCAUUUUCCUAAUCUGAUCAUUUUCAGUUCCAGUUUGCCUGGUUUACCUGAAGAGGACCUCUUAUAUUAACUUAUUGGUAUUUAAACACUGUGAAUGUUUCCAGAACGAUCCUGAGAAGCAAGAACAGUCAACUGAGUUGCAAGUUGACAAUCAGUCCACUGAGAAAGCCUUUCAGUCCUUCUCUAAGCUUGAGCAUUUAUCCUUAUCCUCUGUCUACUCCAACAACUGAUUCCUGGCCCCUGGAAUAAAAUAGUAGUUCCCCAAACUCAGUAUUCCUAAGAAUAGCUGAGCAGUGAGAAUGCAGGUUUCCCUGAUUCCCUAGCUACAAACCCUGAAAAGUGAACACUAGGUAAUAAAAUACAUGCCAGCAUCCCCCCCAAAUAACUUAACAUUUAAGUGAAAAUCAUCCUGCUCUUGAAUCUUUAAAGCCAAAAGGAGCUUUAGUGCAAUAUUCAUUGUAACUCUCUUAUUUUGUAACUAGUAAAUAAAUAUUUUGAGCAAGAAACAGCUGAAGCUAAAACACAAGAGUGCCAUGACAUCCAGUCCAGUGUUUCUUUCAUUACUUACAUCCCCGCACAACAUCUUUGACCCUCUCAAAAUGCUUGACAGAGGAAUUACCCAGUGUUCAAUGAUACAGUUUCAGGGUUUUUUUUUUUUUGCCAUUCCCCACUUAAUAUCUUUUUGCUCGGGUUGAAACCCCAAGGUGACAAAGAGAUUAGGGAAGGAAUGUUUCUUUGUUGUCCAGAAUUUUUAGGCUACCUUCUUUAUCUGAAAAAAAAACCUUGUCUCCCAAAAAUAAAAUUGUUCAUACCUGGAAAUACCAGCCUUUGGUACCUGAUUCUCCAGAGCUCAAGAUGUAUUCCAGGGGCUGGGGAUGUGGCUCAAGCGGUAGCGCGCUCACCUGUCAUGCGUGCGGCCCGGGUUCGAUCCUCAGCACCACAUACAAACAAAGAUGUUGUGUCUACCGAGAACUAAAAAAAUAAAUAAAUAUUUAAAAAAAAAAAAAAAAAAGAUGUAUUCCAUUGAUGCUUUACCCUUGUAUUUCCCCAGAGAACCAUCAGCACCAAUUUGCUAAGUGCCCCUCUUUGAAGAGUCCCUCCCCUUCAUGAAGCAGCCUUUCAUGUGGAUCUUUCUGUCUCAAGCCCUUUUCUUCCUGAAAGAUCUUUACCGUUCAAAGAGAACAAUAGUUAGAUGUAAACAGAGUACAUUGCAAUUUUCAGGACUUUUUUUUUUUUUCUGCUUGGCUGGAAAGGAAAUUGGAGUAUCUAGUUUCUUUCUGCUUUUGGUUAUUUAUAGUGAUAAUUUCUUAUGAAUGCAAGUAGUUAACAACAGACUGUGCUCAUUUCUUUUUAAAUUUGUGACUCCAAAUCAUUAUUUCUAUUCUUACACAACAACAAAGCCUCAAAUGCACAUAGGAUAGGCCGAAAACUGCAUAUCUCAGCAGGGGUUUAUAGAUUGAAUACCAAAGUUGAAUCUGAAAGACACACUUGGAAUAAGUUCUCAGCUCCAAUCUAAAAUGUCAUCUAAUAUCACAAGCCUAAGGCUACAAAUUUUUCUAAGUUUCCCCAAGUUUCACUUUCUAGAAAAUAAACAGCUACUUCAUCCUAAAUGUUGUAAAUCCCUAGGGGAAAUCUUAUCUCAAAAACAUAGUUAUGCAUUCCCUCCUUCUAACACAUUCAUAGUUGUAGCUGCUUAAAGGCAUGGAAAAACUCCAGUUACUGACUGAAAGAAUUUCUCUAAAGAAAUGACAUAGGAAAGACAGUAGAAUGAAUUGGACCUAACUUUCCUAUGUUCGUAUGUGAAUACACAACCAGUGAAACUCCACAUAGUGUACAACCACAAGAAUGGGAUCCUAAUUAGAAUAAAUUAUGUUCCAUGUAUGCAUGCUAUGUCAAAAUACACUGUACUGCCAUGUAUAUCUAAAAAGAACAAAUUUAAUAAAAAAAAAAAAAAAAAAAACGAAAGAAAACAAGGCUGGGGUUGUGGCUCAGUGGUAGAGACUUUGCCUAGCACAGGUGAGGCACUAGAUUUGAUCCUUAGCACCACAUAAAAACAAUAAAUAAAGUAAAGGUUAAAUUCUCUAAAAAGAGAAAGAGAACAUACCAAUUAUCACAUCAAAAAAAACAAAAAAGGCACAGUGACUUUCUUUACUUUCCUCCUCUUCCUCUAUUGUUAAAACCUGGGCUGGCUGGGUCACCUCUAACAUCUCUAUUAUGGAAGGUAACAUGUUAGUAUAAAAAAGACCACAAGUGGGCUGGGUCUGGGGCUCAGUGGAAGCACACUUGCCUGGCAUGUGUGAGGCACUGGGUUCGAUUCUCAGCAUGGAAUAAAUAUAAAUAAAAUAAAGGUCUGUGAAAAACUAAAAAAAAAAAAAAAAAAGACCACAAGCUUUUGAGCACUGUAGGAGUUUGAAUCCCAUUUUAUUAUGUGGGAUUUAUAGUAUGGAGAUGGGGGGCUCUCAGCCUCUGUUUACAUGAGUCAAUUGGGGGAAAUGAUGCCUAAUUCUAAGGGAUUUUAGAAAGAGUCCAUGAAAUGUGUAAACCUAGGAUUAAGUAAAUAUUCAAGAAAUGUGCCACUUCCUAGUUCCAUGUUGUUUUUUGUAAUUAUUCAAAUGGGAUUACAGAAAUUGUAGGUCAGGAUAAAAUGCCCUACUCAGAAGAUAAAUAACUGAUUUGCUUAAGAAAAAAAUUAUUUUAUCCACUCAUUGCAUGUCAAAUUGUAUAGUUUUAUGAAAUUCAAAGACAUUACCACAUUGACUCUUUUCUAAAUAGAACUUGUAUUAUCAUUUUGUUGAUCAAGCUGUUGUCUCUUAAUACUAUCUCUUAUGAAAUUAGUUUCUUGAUCCCAAGUAGUUCUUUGAUUUAGUGUCUGCUCUCACCUGAACUCAUUUUUCAAUAUUCUAGCUUUACCCAGAGGAUUUUGGAAAAUGAAAGAAUUUGGAAUACUUAGUUUUAAUUAAUUAUCUGUGUUUUGAUAUGGGUGUAACUCACUGACAGAACACUUGGCUAGAGCAUGUAUGCAGUUUUAGGUUCAAUUCCCAGAACCACCAGAGGUGGGGAGAUGAUCUAUGCCUUUUUAUUGUCAGAGAAUUGAAAAUACUCGUGUCCACUGUCCCAAAAUUUGUUUCUAUCUCAACUAGCAAGAAUCAGCAAGGUAUGAGAUACCAUUUUAAGCUACUCACCAUCAGACUGGAAUCAAUUAUAAUUUAUAAGUGAAGCAGAUCAAUUUAUUUGUGAUACCUUUGUAUAAAAAUCAAAAAGGCAAGUACAAAUUUUCUAAUGAGAAAUCUGUUUCUGAACUUUCAAUUCAUAGCCUAGAAUUCCCACCACUCCCAUAACUCCUGAACCCAAUGGAGUGUAGGUAAAAAAAAGCCUUUAGCCCACCAAGCUUCCAUAUACUCAUAAGCAUCUCCCACAAAAGUGUUGAAAAGGGGCUAUAAAGAGAACUAGAAGUAUAGUAUUUUGUUGUAUAAAAUAAGGUACUCACACGCCUUUUAAAAAAUUAAAGAUCUUACAUCUUUCUAAUGAUUUAUUCUGAGCAUGGAGAUACUUCAUGUGUUUGUUAUUUGAAAAUCAUGUAGCUCUUUGUGUGUUCCUUCCAAUUCAUAACUAUAAAACAUGUAUAGGAAUUUUUAAACAUGAGUAGAUUUCAGGGUAUGCUUACCUGUUUACUAUUUGGUUUUAUCUUCAGGUAUAGAUACUUUGUGGUACUACUGAAAAUACCUUUAAUAAUAUUAUUUUGACCAAAAUUUGUAAUAUAUAAUUUACUUUGAAGUGAUGAAUAAAAUUUUUUCUAAUCUCUUGAGAUA